rnacentral:lncRNA from 1 species
AUUCCUCUUUUCUUUCCCUUCCUUUUUGAAAGGUACAAAAAGUUAUUUGCUUUUCUUCUUUUCUCUUUUAUUAAUUGUAGUAAAACUUAAAAAUGACGCCGUCUGUGGGGAUCGAACCCACGACCACGUGGUUAAAAGCCACGCGCUCUACCACUGAGCUAAGACGGCUAGAUGUUGCAAUGCACUCUCUUUUAUUAAAAUCAAAGAUAUUAAAAUUGUGUGUAAUUUUUUUUGCAAUUUAUUAUAUUCACUAAGAGACGAGUUUUUUGAUCAAUUGAUGAUUUAAUAUGAUAUUAAAGUAAGUUUGUUUCAUUGUUGUUUUGUUAUUUAUUUCUUAUUGAAUGUCGUUUUUCACUUAUUUGGUCUUUUACGUGUUUCAAAUAUCAUUCUACAUCGAUUGACUUUGUCACGUGACAUUUUUUUUAAUGAACUUAUAGUUCAGUAGUUAACUUAUCGAGGAUUGAUAUCAUCUGUUGUCCAAUGAACUAUAUUGUCAUCCACUGAGUGUGUGUGUAUAUAUAUAUAUAUAUAUAUGAAGAUCAUGUGUUACUUGAACAAUAUGUCAUCAAACCUUCACCGUUGUCUCUUCUAAAUUAAAUCAUAAAAAAAGCAAUCGCAAGUUUUGUUUUUUUAGAUUACAAUGUUCAAGGGACAAAUUCUCACAAAUUUAUAAAUAUUUUUGGUAAAAAUUUAACGAUUGUAUCAAUUUAAAGUUUUUAAAUGUUUAGGAUCUAUCUUCUACCCUUCAUUCUAUAGAAAACGUUUGAUUUGAUAGUAAAAAAAAUCAAGAUUACAACAACCACUAACUACUAGCAUUUUUAAAAUAUAUACAUAGUUUUCUCUCGAAAAUAAAUUUAAAAAUCAAAUAGUUUAAUCUAUGCUUUUUAAUAUGGAAGGGGGCAAGAUGAUAUAUAUAUAUAUAUAUAUUAUACAUUCAGAUUUCAUCAUUCAAAUUGAGAUUUACUUUUAUAUAUAUAUUAUAUAUAAUCAUCUACGUAAAUCGAUCAUUUGCUAGCAAGGUUUGAACUCACCUUUUCGACUCAACUCUUUUUAUCUCGAAAUUUAUGAACUAUUGGUUUUUUUCGAAACUGUUACGAUAUAUAAACUAAAAUAUAUAUAUUAUUAAAAAUAUUUUAAAAUUUAAAAUUUUAACCUUUUAAUUAAAUUUAUAUUAAAAAUUUACGUUGUGAAAAGGAAAAAAAAAAAUCAAAAUUUUAAUUUACUUCUUCUCCUUCCUCAAUCUUUAUUUCUCUAAACCCUACUUUUAAGUUCAGCCACCUCCUCCCGCCCAUUGCUAGCUACUGCACCACGUACACCCUUCCCUCCCGCCCUCAAACAGAGAGUAAGCUAGAAUCAUCACUUGGUAUUGAAUUGACUGCCAUGGCGGUACUGGACGAGAAUGUUCCGUCCUCCUCAGAGGUCGAGGCAAUGAACAAAAGGCGCAAAAGGAAAACACCCAAGAAAAAUCCUCUUUCAACAGCUACCGAAGAAUCGGAACUUCAGAAUCCUAUGAAAGGUGAUGAAGAAGAAGAAGAAGAAGGGGAAGGAGAUGCCGAAGGUAAUGUACCGGAGGAGAAUAUGAAGAACAAGAAGAGGAAAACGAAAACGAAGAAGGAAGGACAUGAAGAUACUGGUGAUGGUAAGGUAGAGGAGGCCGUGGAAGGGCAAGUGGAGAAGGGCGAGGAGAAAAAAAAUCAGAAAAAGAAGGUUAAGACUGGUGGGUCGGGAAUUAUGAGUACUGUUUCAUUUGAUUCGCUUGAAUUGUCGGAAAAUACUCUCCGGGCGAUUAAGGACAUGGGAUUUGAGCAUAUGACUCAGGUCAGAUUUCUGCUCGACCAAUUUAUUGGCAUAUUUUCGCUAGAAUUUAUAGUUUUCAAUGGCUCGUUUACUUGCUUACAUUGUCGAAUUGAGGCAAAUGGGAGGAGGUUGAAUUCAAUUUCAAACCCGAAGUAAGCAAGUAGCAAUUAUUAUUUUGAGGUCGUGAUUGGGAAUGUCAAAGAAAUGUUUAACCCCUGAAUCAUGUUAAUCAGUGUUUUAAUGUUGCCUGUAAAUAUGUUUUGAUGGGGUUAGCUCAAUCCUCGAACAUGGGUUGGAAUUCUUUUUAAUGAACUGUGCACUAGUUGUGAGGCUUCUCUUUUUGAUGUGGAUACGAAACAUUAAUUUUCAUUUCUUGUUCUCUUGGUUGGUUAUAAUUUAGUAGCAAAACUAAUACAUGGACUUGAGUGUUCUCAAAAUUUUCUGACAUAACCAAUGCAGAUUCAAGAUAGAGCAAUUCCCCCUUUUCUGGCUGGCAAAGAUGUUCUUGGAGCUGCGAGGACUGGAUCUGGGAAAACCCUUGCAUUUCUUAUACCUGCUGUGGAGCUGUUACAGCGCAUCUCUUUUACACCUUAUAAUGGAACUGGUGUUAUCGUUAUUUGCCCAACACGGGAGCUUGCAAUUCAGGUUGGAAAUUUUUUUCCCCUGCCCACGUUUCUCUUUUAAUAAGUUAGAAUUUGAUGUUCUCCUCAUAUUGAUGCUAAAGGAGCUUACAAUCUUUUGUUUUUACUGGAAGAAUCUGAUUCAGUUUGUAUUAAUAAAAAAUGAAUUAUGCUUAUAAAGAUACAAAAUGACGAUGAAGCUAUAGAGGCUCAAUAAUCGUGUAUCGUCUCACAACUUGGACUCACUCCUAGAUGGAUUUAUCUUUAACAGUCUUAUAUUUCUUUCAAAAUGAAAUAAGAACUUUAUUCACACUUGAGAAGUUCCGAGAAAGAAAUGAAAAUCUUCCUUUAAGCCUUUUACUAGCCACAAAGCAACCAAACAAUGUAAAAUUCCUAGAAGAUUUGAUAGGAAUGUCUCUUUUAUAAAUUAUAACUAGUUUUAUCAUCUAUGCUAUAUGGUUACCCCAUAAAAGCAGACCCAAACGUUCUUUUAAUACCUCACAAGAAGAAGCGUGGUCAGAAUCUUUUUCUUGUUAAUUUCCUUCAACCUUCCUUCCAUCUCAUAUCUUUUGAUAUUAUUACCGACUGACCUUUAUUUGAUAAUUCAGAUACAUGAAGUGGCAAACGAGCUUCUCAAAUAUCAUUCACAGACUCUUGGCAUUGUUACCGGUGGUUCUAGCAGACAAGCGGAAGCCAAUCAUAUUACUAGGGGAGUCAAUCUAUUAAUAGCAACCCCUGGUCGACUUCUUGACCAUCUUCAGCAUACUAAAAAUUUUGUGUUUAAGAAUUUGAAGGUAAUGAUAACCUGUUUAUCGUUUUUUUGGCAUUAUUUGUGUAAUUUGUUGGAAAAUAUUUUCAUCAGUACCAAGUAAAUUAUGGAUUCUUGAGAAUUUGUUGCUAGCUUUAUGAUGUUGCUGCUGCCAACAUGUGGUCUGCUCCUCACGUGUUCAGUUUAUUUCUUUUUUUUUCAGCUCUAGUUUUUUGGAUAAAAAAAACUACUCAAUUAAUAAUAGACUAUAUUUUCAAAUAUCAAUCAAUUUAGAUUCAAUUUCCUAUUCUGAUUUGCAUUGUGCAACUCAUCAUAUCAUGUUGGUAAUUUACUUGUAUGUUAUCCUUAAUCUUUUGCAGUGCCUUAUAAUUGAUGAAGCCGACAGGAUAUUGGAAACUAAUUUUGAAGAGGAAAUGAAACAAAUUAUAAAGCUUCUACCAAAGGUAGUUAACUUUGGUUGUUUAAUGUUAUCAAUUGGGAUUUUUCAAAACUUUCUUAUCUGGAAAAAAAAAUUAUUAUAAUUAGUAAAAAUUACCGCAUCACCUGGGAUGCCUUAGCAAAUGGGGUUAAUGGUUGUUUGGGGUGGAGGUGCGUUAUUUUCCUUUUUUAUGGUGGUGGUCAAUAUUUUCCUCAUGCAUUACUGCAACCUGAUUGUAUUGCAAUUUGCAGAAUAGGCAGACUGCUCUGUUCUCAGCAACCCAAACACAAAAGGUUUGUGUAUUGCAUUCAACUUUUAUACUUUUGUCUCUCUAUGGGUUAUUCUCUUCUACCAUUGAUGCGUAUUCUGUUAUCACUUGAAUUUCUAUUCCUUGGUUCAUUUGUGUUGGUUUUUCUUCUCUCCUCCCCACUGAUCAUCCAAAAAACAGGUUGAAGAUCUUGUCCGCCUGUCGUUUCAGUCAACUCCUGUUUAUAUCGAUGUAGAUGAUGGGAGAACAAAGGUAUCCUGAUCUGCUGAUAUUUAUAUGUUUAUUUAUAUUAGCCCUUUCCUUUGAUUUGUUGUUUUGACAUAUUUGUUAUUGUAGGUCACCAAUGAAGGGUUGCAACAAGGUUAUUGUGUUGUUCCCAGUGCUAAAAGAUUCAUUGUUCUGUAUUCCUUCUUGAAGAGAAGUUUAUCAAAGAAAGUUAUGGUCUUCUUCUCAUCUUGUAACUCUGUCACAUUUCACGCGGACCUUCUUAGACACAUUAAGAUUGAUUGCAUGGAUAUUCAUGGAAAGCAAAAACAGCAGAAGAGAACUUCUACCUUCUUUGCCUUUAAUAAGGCUGAGAAAGGGAUCCUUCUAUGUACCGAUGUUGCUGCACGUGGACUUGACAUCCCCGCAGUUGUAAGUUAUCCUCUUUUUUAGCCAGGUCAAUGCAUUUCCCCAAUAGAAACAAUUAAGUUGCAUUGCCUUCGUGGUCAUAUUUUCUUAUUAAAGCCAUUUAACUAUGUCUCAUUUCGUGUGUCUCAGGAUUGGAUUGUUCAGUACGAUCCUCCAGAUGAACCCAAGGUGUUGGUUACUACUCAAUUUUGUUCACAACCUAUAUAGUAUCCUUGGUAUUCCUAUCUAAUUGAGUUUACUGUUUAAAAUUAUUGGUUUUAGGAAUAUAUUCACAGAGUUGGUCGAACAGCUCGAGGUGAAGGCAGCAAAGGAAAUGCACUACUAUUCUUGAUUCCCGAAGAGCUUCAGUUUCUUCGCUAUCUAAAGGUCUAAAAUUUUCCCUAUAAAUUUAAAUAGAAUUUGAAUGCACUGUUGUUGUCAGAAGAGUGAAAAAACGAAACAUCAGAAGUCCAUAGGCAUAUGAUAUUUUAAUCUUCUGUUCUUCGCUGAAUUUUUGCAUGUUUGGGAAUAGUUUCACUUAGUGUUCCGCCCUUUUUAAUAUAUUGUGUGUGUGGUUCAUAUUCUAUGUUCAGGCAGCAAAAGUACCUGUCAAAGAGUACGAGUUCAGUGAUAAAAGACUGGCCAACGUGCAGUCUCACCUGGUAAACUCCUUUCCCUUUUGUUUGUGUUCUCACCAGUACCACUCAAGCACAUGGACUUAAAUUUGAAAUAUUGAAUGAUGCAGGAGAAGCUAGUAGGCAGUAAUUAUCAUCUGAACAAGGCAGCUAAAGAUGCUUACAGAACCUAUUUAUUAGCUUACAAUUCACACUCUAUGAAAGAUAUUUUCAAUGUCCACCGCCUUGAUCUGCAGGUACUGUCUAUCCAUUUUCUCUAAGAUCUUAGUAAGAAGCUUCACUGACUAAAAUUUGGUUGGAUACACGUUUUAGUCUAAAUGAGUUUAUUGUCAGAUGUCAAAGCUUUUUGUGCUUGAAUAUGUGUAACUCGAUCGGGGAAGUUUUCUAUCUUUACACUUGCAGUUAUAUGUGAACAGGCUAUUGCUGCGUCGUUUUGCUUUUCAAAUCCUCCAAAGGUCAACCUUAACAUUGAUAGCAGUGCCUCAAAAUUGAGGAAGAAAACACGUAAAGUAGAAGGGAGCAGGAAUAGAUUCAGUGAGAGCAAUCCUUAUGGGAAGAAGAAUGCGGAGGAUGAAAGACAAUUUGUAAGAUACUAGCUCAUACUUCUAUUCAAAUGGAUUCAAAUCUCUGACCCCAUAGUCGAGAUGACAUAUACUAUAUAUAUAUUAGUUGAACUAUAUCUGCAUUAGUCUUAGCUGCGAUUCAUUUAUAAGCUGAUAUUCUUGAAAUAGUUUGGUACCAUAUGCGAUGUUGUAAUCUAAGUUUUGUAGCAUAGGGAAAAUCUUGAACUGAACGAGGCAAUCUGGAGAGUAAUUUAUUCUGGAGAAGUGUAUACUAGCACAUAAAUUUUUUGAUAGAUUCAUUCUUAAUUUUAAUUUUAUAAAUCUAUAAUUGGAUCAUUUGUUGAAAAGAAACUGUUUGGAAAUCUGUGAAGAAAAAGUUCAUGGCUGAUGGAGUUAUUAUAUUAUUGAUAGAAAUUAUCCAAACUUAUUUAAGUAUUUACGAACAUUCAAUUAGUUUUUCUUUUCAAAUACCUUUUCUCUCUGUUUUCUUUUUCUUUUUCCCACAAUUGAUUGUUCAAAUAGAAAUUUAGUUGACCUAUUAUUGCAUGUUUUAUUGCUUUCAAACUAAUAAAUGACCUUUUUAUAUCUUAACGUUUAUAUUUCAAUUCAUGAUUCAUUUUCAUUCAAUUCACCAAAUUACUUGCUAUGCUAAAACACUCCUUAAAGUAUUUCACAACAUCUUUCUAAAAUUGGAUUAGAGAGUAAUUUUAAUCACUUACCAAAACAAUUUUCAAUGAUUAGCCAUGUGAUUAUUGCAUUACCAAAUAGAGAGUUAUUUAUUAAUUAAUUACAAAGAAAAAAGAAUGCAUGAGAUGAGAGAUUUUGUCAAUAGCAAUGCUUAUUAACUACUCCAUAAUCAAUAUGAUUAAGACACAAGUCACACUUUCAUAUGUGUAAUUACCAAGCAUUUUUGGACCAACCAUAAAGCGCCACGACUCCUCCAUUACUUAUCAGCCUAAUCUUUGGGCUGAAACUGCACGCAAUUGAAACGACGCCGGACACCCUUUGGGUAUUGCCACGUGUUGUUAUUGCCAUUUAUUUAUUCCUUAUGAAAUCUUAGCCGCCUCGCUAAUUUAUUAUACGUCUGUGCCACGUCAACGUCUUCGUCACACACCAAUUUUAGUUUUUCCCGUUUUGAGUUUUUCCUUUUAAAUGUGGUUUUACGAUUUUGCUUUUCUUAGCAACUUUUAUGGCAGUGGUUGUAUUGUUAUAUCUAACACUGGUUUAAACUGUGAAACGUUUAGGAUUAGAGUCAUAAGAAAUUUUUGGAUGAAUGUGUAAAAUGGAAAAUAUGAACAAAUGAGUUUUUUCGAUAAAAGUGUAAAGUUUAAUAAUGUUUUCUAUUGAAAUUGAGUUGUGUGAAGUUGGUGGACUAAAUUCCUUUACAUGGAAUAAAAAAAGAGUAGUAAUAGUUAAGAGAGUCUAUGAGAGAAUUGAGAGGAUGUGUAAAAUCUCAAAAAACCUAUGAAAAAGCUUAAAGAAUCUAUGUAAAACCCUAAAAGGAUCCCUGAGGGAGUCAAAAGAGCGGAUGACGACUCUAGUCCCUAAUAAGAUUAUGAAGGAGUUUGUAGUAUCCAUGAAGGAUCUCAAUAGUAUCCCUAGAAAUCCUAGUGUGGUACCACGAAGUAUGUGAUUCUGCAUAUAACGACUUGGUAGAACCAUGUUAACCCUAGUAGUACCGUGGAGGAUUUAGUAUUAGUAACAUGGAAGAAUUAUAGAAAACAUAGUAAGAUUAUGAAAAGUCUUAAUAGUAACACCAAAGACCCGUGGAGAACUUGUUUAGACAACCUAACAAGACCAUAAUGGACCCAAUAUUAUGUAACUAAUAUCCCAUGGAGGUUUUAGUGGUAUUUAAUGAAGGACCUAGUAGAUCAAAGUCCCAAAAUAUCAUGAUAAAUUCAUGAAAGUCCUAUAUCAUGAAGCUAGGUUUCAACGAUAGAAAACUUUUACAAAGAACCUAAUAGUACGUACCAUUCAAAGUUCUAAUAUUAUCGUGAAGGACCAAUUAAGGACCUAACGAUAACAUGAAAAUCUCAAUAGUAUGCCAUAAAAACAACCAUUUAAAGCUCUCUUGACAUGCAUUUGUAAUAGCUUAAAGUUCAAUCAUCUCAAUUUCUAAUAUUAAAAAAGAAAAGUUAGAUGAAGUGGUUUAGAUGCAAAUUUGAAAGUUGAAAUACAUUACAUUACUCUUUUUUUCUUUUCUCAUUAGUUUAUCUAUGUAUAUAUAUAUAUAUAUAUGAAGUAGGAUUAGAAUGGUAAAUGAGAAAAUUAAUUAAAAACCAAAUGUGUAUUAGAAGUAGGAUUUUUCCAUGCAUUCGUUGGAACAAACAAAGCAACAAAUUGUGAGAAUUUAUUUGCUUUGACUUUUGACUUUUUGACCUUCAAAUAUUCUUAUUCGUCCCACGUGGAAUAUAUAUAUAAUAUUGAAUAUAACAGAAAUCCAAUAUGUUCCCAAAUUUCAAUUUUUUUGAACCGAUCUUUUAUAGUCAGCUUGACCGGAAUCUCCCCCAAAAGGACUCCAUAUCUAAUUAACGUUUAAUCACAUUACCUAAUAUGAAUUACACCCAAGAAUUCUCAAACCUUACAAUUUCUUUUGUAUUAACAAUUAAAAUUUAUUUGUAUUACUACCCUACUCUAUUUUGAGGAAAUAAAUUAAUUAAUUGUCAAUCUUAAAAGUUGUGUCUAUUUCUUCUGAGACUCUAUUCAACAUUAAAUAAUUUUUAAGAUUGUAGAUUCUCUCCCAAUUUGACCGAGUAGAUUUUCAUUGAUAGAUCGAUAAAAUUGUACUUAUUCAAUGAGUUAUAUUGUACAUAUAAAAAAAACACGUACACAGUACUUAUUGCAUAGUUCAAAUAUAAUGUGAUUUGCAAUUACAUAUUUAAAUUUUCUUUGACUAAAAUUAUUAAAUUUUAUAUAAAUAUUAUAAUGAAAAAUUGUCAAAAAUAGCAAAUAUAUUUAUAAUAUAUAUAUAUUUUUUUCAAAUUCUAUCAAUAAUAAAUCUUGAUAAUCACUCAUAUGCUUCUCUCACUAACAUUGAUAGAUAAUGAUAAAAUCUAUCCGUUGUUAUAUCAUUAUAGAAUUUAAAAUUUUACUAUAGUUUGUAAAUAAGGAUGCUGACAAAUAGAAAAAAUAAAUUAGAAUAAUAGAGGUUAUAUCACUACAUUUUCUAAACUGCAUUCGAUAAUUCUUAGAUAACCUUCUAAUAGUUAUAUGAUAUCAUUAAUUAUUGGUCGCACGUAAAAAAAAAAGUGUGAGAGAUUGAUUUUCUUGUAAAUAUUUUAAUUUAUUUUUGUAUUGUUAAAAAAAAUGCUUCUAAUUAAUAUAAUUAUGUAAUGUUUAAUAUUAUAAAAUGUAAUUUGGUAAGAAAGAAAAGGUCAAAUUGGUAAUAGCGGAGUGAAGCGAAUUAAAUCAACUACUUAACUUAGCAUAAUCAAUCACCCACAACGACACGUGUAAGUCGAUAAACCUAUCCAACGGCGUCGAGAAAUCGAGAGAUAUUUAUCGAGUACGACGCGUCACAGGCAAUGCCAAAACUCAAAAAAAAAAAGGAUCGCCGGUUCUGUUUUCGUUUCGUUUCGGUCAAAAGCAUUCGCCUAAUUCAAAAUCGGAUUGCGCUUUUCCCAUUUCCUCACCCAACUUCCAUCUUCCCUCCCUUCUUACGUCUCGUUCUCUGUUGUUAUAUAAAUCCCCUCACCCUCUUAAACCUUUCUCCGUUCUACACAUCAUUCCAACCCAUUCUUCCAUUUACGCCUUUUUUUUCUUCUUUUUUUUCUUUUUGGGUUUGUUGGGAUGGAGAUCGUUUCCGAUAUCCGAGAGACAAACAGUAUGGAGAAGAUUGAAGCUCCGUUUCCUGUUCACAGUCAGGUGAGAAAGAUCAAAGAGGAAUCCGACACGACCAUCGAUUGGCGACCUGGUCAACCGGAGAUCAGACCGCCGACCGCCUCCUUCCGCCAGAUCUCUCGCUCGCCGCUUGGAAUCUCCGGCCGCCCUAUUUCGGUGGGGGAUUCGUAGAAAAAGAGUAUUUCCGGUAGAGAUAUUUUGGGGCUUAUUUCGUCUCUCUUCUUCUUCUUCUUCCUCCUUCCUUCCUUCUAAUAUUACAAAUUCAGAUAGCCCUAGUUUAUGUAUAUAUCGUUGCUUUUAAUUUUUAAAUAGAGAGAGUUUUUGGAUUUUGAAUUUUGUAUAUUACUUUUUAUAUAAUUUAUAGCAUAAUAUUACUCAAACUCUCGAAUUUCUUCGAGAUUGUUCAUAUGGAGAAUAUAAAUUUCUUGAAUGUUCAUCUUAUUUAUUUAUUUAAUUCAUGGGUACGAGUGAUUUCUUUAAUUUUGGCCGUUAAAAAAUUUGUGGCUUCAACAAAUGGAUUAGUUGAAAAAGCGUCUCCUCCUUGAGAAAAAUCAGAAAAAUAUAAUUAUUGGACUUUUUUAGGGUAAUGGUCCACUAAAUUAUAAAAAAAUGAAAAGAAUUUGUUUAAAGAAAACGUUGUUUUCCUAAUUGUAUUAGGGUAUAAUUAGUGAAUUCUUACUCUUAUAUUUAAUUGUAAUAGUUUGGAUCUUAAUAUUUAACUAGUUGUAAUUGGAGUUUAGGAUUGAAAAUGGUUGGAAUUGAUUAGGAUGAAAUGUAAUUAAUUUGUUCAUGAAUUAUGGUAAUUAGUUUUACCAAAUUAUAAUACAAAUACGAUAAUUACUCUUAUUAAAUAUAUUUUUCAAAAUUUAAAUUUUAUUAAUCAACAAUUUAAGGUUCUUAUUUUUUUUUUCAACUUUUUUUGGAAAAAAGUGGAAUCUGAGUUGAAUUUGACAAAAAAAAAAAAAAAGUUGAAUGAAGCAAAUACAAUGAAAGUAUAUAAACUGUUUAGCUUGGUGGAUUUAAAAAGAAAAUUAGAGUUAAAAAACAAAAGUCCAUGAAAGUUUUGGAAAUACAAUGGAAGAAAAUACUAAGUUUAGUAGGUAAACAAUUGUGAAGCACGAGAAUUAUAACAUCAAUAUUUUACCUGAUAAGACUUAAUUCUUCCUUUAUUUUAGAGGCGUUUUGUAAGUAUUUGAAGAAUUCACGUGAUGGAAGAUGGCUAAACUUCCUUUGUAAAGAGGUAAAAUUUUCAUGUGGCUUAUUCAGAUAAUUUCUCAAGUUUUGAUUAUAACUGAUUUAUUAAAUAUAAAAUUGAAAUUUAUGGAGUUAAUAGAAUGCUAACCUUUCAAAACAUGACUCUACACCAGUAAACUAUAUAAAAUAUUAAAUAAAUGAGUUCCAACAAAAGAAACUAAAAUUUUAAAACCUACUAAAACAAAUUUAUGAAUGUAUAUCUAAAAUGGAUAAUAUUGUAUGAUUUUUAACAAAAUUGAAAUUAGAGAAUUCUUUUGGUUUUAAUUUCACCACAUUUCUCAACAAAAUCUUAACCGCAAGAAGAAAAAGAGGCGUUUUAACCAAAAUAAAAGUUAAGGUAAGAAAAAGUUUAAACUAAGGGGGAAAAUGGUAGAACCGAGUGCGGACCACGCAUAUGAAUCGAGUGGCGGUGUGCAAGGUGGACCAUUUCCUUACGGCCCAAGCGAAGCCACAAAGCUAAACCCACUCCCUUCCCUAUAAAUCCUUCAAACCCGCUUCCUUCACCUCACUUCUUCCUCUCUUUCUCACCAAACAAACCCAAAAGCAUUUCUCUCUCAAUUUCAUCACCGCACCCGGAGCACCACCACCACCACCACAAUCACCGCCCUCUCCCGCCAUUUCGGAGUUUCUUCCAUCAGGUUUUCAUCAUCUUUUUCUUUUUUCUUUAUCUAUUCUCUUUCCUUUUUCAAGCUCUUUGUUUCAUUCUGCGCCUAGGGCUUCAUUGUUCUUCCUGUUAAUUUGAUCCUCGUUUUCCCUCUUUCCCAAUCGCGUUUUCAUCUCCUAUUCCUCUUUCCGUGUGUGUGUAUGGAGGAAUGGAGGAAUGGAGGAAUGGAGGACGAGAAAGGAGAAAGGAAGAGUUUUAGAAAUACAAAUAGAUUGGAUUGAAUUUUAGUGAAAGGGCAUGAAAAAGAAAUGUGGAUUUAGAGGGGAAAAUUUUGUGUAUCAAAAUCCAAAACGUGCUCUUCAAUACUGUUGAUGGUGGCUCAAUCUUUAUCCUUGAUUUUUAACUUCAGUUGAUCAUUCCGAAUCGUAAUUCAUUAGUUUAUUUUGUAUGUUAUCAAGAAAUUUAUUAGAGUGAGAGUAAGAUAUUGUUAGAGAGCAAGAAUAAAACUUGUAUUAUUACCAUCACAGCAUGCUUUGAUCAUUUGGCUUCCUUCAUCUUGAUGGUUAUUGGAACAAAAGCGUUUUUCUUAUUAUUCGUAAUGGAAGAUUUUUCAUUUUAAGAUGCAUUGCGAUGGUAACUCAUUGACAUUGAUACGGUGUUGAAUAUUGGUUAACUCUUUUUUUGGCUUUUUUUUUAAUUGCAGAAUAUGAGCUCAAAUGUCCGAAAUGUGCGGAAAGAUAGGUCUAGGAUUCCUGCAUCAAGUGCUCGAAAAGAGUGGGUACCGAGAGGAUCUACAACAAUCCCAACUACAACUGCGACCACGGACAUUCAUGUGAAUCAGCCGCUGAACGUUAAUUUGAAUGGUAAUCGGAAUGAGCAAGAGCCAAAUUCUAGUCCUCCUCAUCCAGUUUAUCGAGAUAGAGGUAAUCAUGGUCAAAGGGUUCAUGUGGGUCCCCGAAGGAAUCAAAGAAAAGACAAGGAGAAAGACAAGGAGAAAAGUGGGGAUCAGGGUGAAAAGGAUUUGAGAAUCUCCAACUUGCCUCAGCUAGUUCAUGAAAUUCAGGAAAAAUUGACGAAGGGCACUGUUGAGUGCAUGAUUUGUUAUGAUAUGGUGCGGAGAUCUGCACCCAUAUGGUCUUGUUCAAGCUGCUUUUGCAUUUUUCAUUUAACUUGCAUCAAGAAAUGGGCUAGAGCACCCACUUCCACCGACUUGGUUGCUGAGAAGAAUCAGGGGUUAAACUGGCGUUGUCCAGGAUGCCAAUCUGUGCAGCUUAUCUCUUCGAAGGAGAUUCGAUAUGUUUGUUUCUGUGGUAAAAGGCAGGAUCCCCCUUCUGACUUGUAUUUAACCCCCCAUUCGUGUGGGGAACCGUGUGGCAAGCCACUUGAUCGAGAGAUGCUGGUUGCUGGUGGAAGCAAGGAGGAUCUUUGUCCCCAUAAUUGUGUCUUGCAGUGCCAUCCAGGUCCCUGCCCUCCUUGCAAGGCAUUUGCUCCUCCUCGUUUAUGCCCUUGUGGCAAGAAGUUGAUAACAACACGUUGCUCAGAUAGGAAAUCCACUUUAACUUGUGGGCAGCGUUGUGAAAAACUCCUGGAUUGUGGACGACACUGGUGUGAAAAAAUUUGCCAUGUGGGUACUUGUGAUCCUUGCCAGGUUCAAGUUAGUGCCUCUUGCUUUUGCAAGAAAAAGAAAGAGCUUGUCCUCUGUGGAAGCAUGGCUUUGAAGGGUGAAGUAAAUACAGAAGAUGGUGUUUUCCCAUGUAGCUCCAUCUGUGGGAAGGGUCUAAACUGUGGCAAUCAUGUCUGCCGUGAAAUUUGUCAUCCAGGACCCUGUGGAGGCUGUGAGUUGAUGCCUGACAUGAUUAGGACAUGUUAUUGUGGGAAAACACGAUUGCAGGAUGAACGGACAAGUUGUCUGGACCCAAUCCCAACAUGUUCUGAGCUUUGUGAGAAACUAUUACCUUGUGGGAAGCAUCGUUGUAAGGAGGUCUGUCAUGCCGGUGAUUGUGCACCUUGCUUGGUUCAAGUUGUUCAAAAAUGCCGAUGUGGAUCAACUUCUCGAAAUGUGGAAUGCUACAAGACUUCCAGCCCAACUGACAUAUUCACUUGUGAAAAGCCAUGCGAGUGGAAGAAGAAUUGUGGAAGGCACAGGUGCAGUGAGAGAUGCUGUCCUCUAUCAAACUCCAGUUAUAAUCAUUUAGGAGAUUGGGAUCCACACUUUUGCGUAAUGAGGUGUGGGAAGAAGCUAAGGUGUCGCCAGCACUCUUGUCAAUCACUGUGUCAUAGUGGCCAUUGCUCUCCAUGUCCUGAGACAAUCUUCACAGACUUGACGUGUGCUUGUGGUAAAACUUCAAUUCCUCCACCACUGCCUUGUGGAACGCCACCCCCAUCAUGUCAAUUUCCAUGUUCGGUUCCUCAGCCAUGUGGCCAUAGUUCUACUCAUAGUUGCCACUUUGGUGACUGCCCACCCUGUACAGUUCCAAUAGCCAAGGAGUGCAUUGGUGGACAUGUAGUCCUAAGGAACAUUCCUUGCGGCUCAAGGGACAUUAGAUGCAACAAGCUAUGUGGGAAAACUAGGCAGUGUGGGAUGCAUGCCUGCAACAGAACUUGUCACCCGCCUCCUUGUGACACUGCUGCUGGAUCUGAGUCGGUUCAGAAAACUUCCUGUGGACAGACAUGUGGUGCACCUCGAAGAGAUUGUAGGCAUACAUGUACUGCGCCGUGUCACCCGUCCGCUCCUUGCCCUGAUGCAAGAUGUGAGUUCCCUGUUAUAAUCACUUGUUCAUGCGGACGAAUAACAGCAUCUGUUCCUUGUGAUGCUGGAGGGAGCAGUAUUAAUUUUAAUACUGAUGCUCUGUACGCUUCGAUUAUCCAAAAAUUACCUGUUCCGCUUCAACCCAUCGAGGCAACUGGAAAAAAGAUUCCACUUGGACAGCGAAAACUGACGUGUGAUGAUGAAUGCUCUAAGCUAGAGAGGAAUCGGGUUCUUGCAGAUGCUUUUGAUAUAACUCCCCCAAAUUUGGAUGCCCUUCACUUCGGAGAUAGUUCUUCUACUGAAUUGCUUGCAGACCUCUUUAGACGUGAUUCGAAAUGGGUAUUGGCUGUGGAGGAGAGAUGCAAAUUCUUGGUCCUUGGCAAGAAUAGAGGAGGAAUUGGUGGCCUUAAAGUUCAUGUUUUCUGUCCAAUGCCUAAGGAUAAGAGAGAUGCUGUCAGGCUGAUUGCUGAGAGGUGGAAGGUUGCGAUCAAUUCUGUUGGCUGGGAGCCGAAACGUUUCAUUACAAUUCAUGUGACUCCUAAAUCAAAAGUCCCACCUCGUGUGCUUGGUAUCAAGGGCUCAACUACCAUAAGUACUCUACAUCCACCGCCUUUCGAUCCUUUAGUAGAUAUGGAUCCUCGGCUUGUUGUUUCUUUUCCAGAUUUGCCGAGGGAAUCAGACAUAAGUGCAUUAGUCUUGAGGUUUGGUGGUGAAUGCGAAUUAGUAUGGUUGAAUGACAAGAAUGCUUUGGCUGUCUUCAGCGAUCCAGCUCGAGCGGCUACAGCAAUGAGAAGAUUGGAUCAUGGUACAGCGUAUCAUGGAGCCAGUCUUCUUCAGAAUGGUGGUGCAUCAGCAUCAUCUAAUACAAAUGCUUGGGGUGGAGGAGAGAAUGCAAAGGAAGGUGGAGCAUCGAAGAGUAGUAAUCCAUGGAAAAGAGCCGUAGUUCAGGAUUCUAGUUGGAAGGACACUUCAUGGGGUGAUGAAGAAUGGUCUGGUCCAUCUAUCGACGUGCAGGCAUCCGUAUGGAAAAGAGAAGCAGCUCCAUUUUCUGCUUCACUUAAUCGGUGGCACGCACUAGACACCGAACCAUCUGUGAGUUCUUCCACUCAAUCACCUGAACACAAGCUUGGCAAUCGAGUAGGCAAUCCCUCUUUAGGAUCUGAAUCAAGUACGAGUAGGAGUUUGAGCUCCGGAGGAGUGAUGCAGGUUGUAACAGAUGAUGGAACAAACACGUCGGAAGUAGCAGAUGAUUGGGAGAAGGCUUACGACUGAAUUAGCAUUGAAGUGAAGACCCAAUGGAUAAGGUACCAUCCAUCAAUUGGUGGCCUUGUUUGGAUCUUGGAUGCACAGCCUUCCUGUCCUUGUAUUCGAUGUUGUAAUGAAUGUUUUUACACAAGGUGGUUUAAUAAUUUUGAAAGCAAGUUUGUAGGUAUUUGGUAAUACUUGUUUUUGAGAGAACAAUUAUUGUAGAGUGUUAGGUCUUUACAACACAAUAGGGCAUUUAUAUGUGGCAUAAAGUUUUGAUGAUAGGUUGAAAAAAUCAUUUUCUUCAUUAGCUGCUGCUUCUUCGUUUAUAUGUAUGAAGGAAGCAUAACUUUGGUAUUUGUUUCCCUCCAUCUUUGGGGGGAAAAUUACUAUAUUUUGUAUUAUUAUUUAUUAAUUCUUAAGAAAGAUAUAAUACAUAAAUCCUUUCCUUGUGAAUGGAAUUGUAUCGUCUGUUUUUUCAUGCCUUUUCUUUAAAAAGUAUAUAUACAUACAUAUAUAUAUAUAUAUAUAUAUAUAUAUAUAUAUAUUAUAUUACAUGUUGGUGAUUACUCUCGUCUCACUUAUGUUACGAUAACUAAAUCCCAAUUUCAACUUCCUUCAAUAACACCUCCAAUGAUACUUCCGGUCAAAAUCAUCUCUACCGACCAUCUAUCAAUCAUCUUCAAGUGUAUAUAUUUUUAAAUAGAAAAGUGAAAUUAUUGGUUCGUAAUGCUUAUUGGUCGUCUUAUUUAAUAAUUUAACUUAAUGUGAACUCUUUGCCUAUAUUGUCAAACUAAACAAUAUUUAUACAUGUUUAAAAACAAUUCUAAGCAAAUGUAAUGCGUGUAAGAACUUGAUAUCUCCUCGUUAGUAUUAUAUUGUUUACUUUGGACAUAAACGCUCAUGAAUUUUCUUUUGAUUACACUAGAAAAGACUCAUAUCAUCAGACGUAGUUAUCAUGUCACUCCCUUAUGUACAUUUAUGAUCACAUUCUUGAAUAAUAAAUCUUGAGCUAAAAUUUAAUAUUGGACGCCAUAAAAGCCCUAAACACUUAGGUGGCUUUUUUUUUUUCUUUCUUCAUAUUACACCUAUAUUUUUUACUAAUGCAAAAAUGUAGUGUAAUUUUGUUAGUUAUUUGAAACAAGAAUGUUUUGCCUAUGAUGGUUAAAUGUGAAAACAUGUAUAAGUAUAUGUCAAAGUUUGAUUUGGAAAAAUAAGUGUUAAACAAAUGUUGACUUAAUUACAAAUUCUUAAGAGAGAGAAAAAACACUAGAAAAGCAAUUUUCUUUUUAAUUACAAAAAAAAUUAUAUAACAUACAAAAUCCUCAACUUCGAACUAAACAACCCGACACCCAAACUUCACUAAAUAAAAUUUCAGAACUCGUUUCAACCUCCCAAACAACUCUUAUACUUGUGUAAAAUUCCAAUUACUCAACAAAGGCUUCUGAUUGUCCGAUUCUUUUUAGAAUGUGGGAUCCAUCCUAACCAAGUAUGAUGGGAAACCUUAUAGUUAUUUGUAUUAGCCUAAUUCAUAACUUAGGUUGGGAUGAAUUAGAGAUAGUUGGAUGGAUUAUUGAAGAAUGAUUUCUGUCUAUAACAAAUUGCUAUUAUUCCUUCACGUAUCCAAAUCUACAAAAGUUUAUCAUACGAAAAAUCAAACUGUUCUGUAAUAAUACACUUAUUCACCCUUUAAGAGGGAAAGAGAAAAGAAACUUUGCUCUGAUACGAAGACACCAUUUUUUGUUAUUUCCAAUGCCAAAGAGCGAAGCUAAGGUUUGAUUGAUCUGUACUUCAGUUUGAAACCAUACUCUCAGUUUCCUUAACAAAGCCAUCGCCUGUCCAGUCUUUAUCAGAUUGCAGACCCUUCUUCACAGCUUUUCUCUGCUCGAUUGCUUCCCGCUGCCUCCGAACCAAAUCCGUGUGGGUCGUGAAAUAUGGAAGAGAAGCUCUGUUUCACCCAAAAAUCAUUAAUGUGACCAAUGUUUGAGGAACCGGAGUCAAAUUCUAUAAAGAACUAUUGAAAUUCAACCUCCUAACUUACCCUCUGAAGUCUUCAAUGGAUGAGAAGUUGUGAAGUUUCAUGAAGUCCUGAAGCUCAGCACAUAGUUUCUUUACAACGCCAUACCCAUGCAUCAUCACUCCUGUACAUACCUGGAGUUGAAUUCAAUUUUCUCAGAAUACAAACCUUUCCCAAAACAAAAAGCAGACAACUACAUUCUCGAGUUUGGUUAAUCGAACUAGUUGUAGUCACAACCUGAACAGUGUUUGCUCCAAGUAGAAUAAACUCGGCGGCAUCUCCACCAGUUUCGACACCCCCAAUGCCAGAAAGAGAGUAGUCUCCAUCGUUAAAUUCUGCCUUCAUCAUUUUUGCAAUGCUCAACACUUUACCAAGAGCAAUAGGAUGAACUGCCUUGGAAGAAUAGCCUCCUGGAGUUGAAUACCUAACAACAUAAAGAUUGAUGCACACCAAAAUUUUUAGCUGAACAAUAGGCUCGGGAUGUAAGAUUUAUGCAAUUCAGUUCACAACAAUUGUCUAUUGAAGAGUUCCAAAGUUCGAAUUAGCAAACCCCUCAACACAAGGCUCGGGACGUAAGGUUUUGAGAUCGAUUCCCAUUACACUCAUGAUCGUGUUGAUGGCUGCUAUUCCCUCACAUCCUGAUUUCAGAGCCACCCUUGCAGGCUUUAUAAAAGAAGAAUCAUUACAUGAAAAUUCAAUUCAACUAAUACCAUACAACAAAAAGAAGUGAAGAUUCAUCAGUUGGAUCAGCACAAGCAAUCAUAAAAAACAUUUCAUUUUCUUCAUGUUUAUUCAAAUAGUAAAAUUUUCACUUCCUCCAACAUAUGAAUUCGGUUCAUAUGCACAGUUAUCCAAAUUAUUCCCAAAGCUAUUGCCAUAGAAUAGAUUUCAUUUUAAUUAUUCAUAAAUGUUGAGUCUGAUGCAAAAAUAAAACUUCUUCGUGCAACAAACAAAUUCUGUACAGAUGCAAGGUUUGUUGAGGAGUUGUAACCUAUAUAUCAUAUUAUUAUCGACUAACGUCGUCAGCAAAAGAAUUUGUCCCAUAACAAUAUGAACACAGCUCAAAGAAUAAUGUGAUCUUCCAAAUGUAGGAGCAAAAAUACCUGUGAAAUGUCAGUGAUAUUGGGGGUCAUUUUUGCCCAAACAGGUAUUGUAGCUUUUGCAUUAAUCCAUCCACAAACUUCUUCCAGAAGUGCACAAUCUUGCCCAACUGCAGCACCCAUUCUCCGUUCGGGCAUGCCAUGAGGGCAUGAGAAAUUGAUUUCAAACGCAUCCUGUCGAAAGAGACGCAAACAUUGGAUGAAAUGAACCUGUUCUUGGUAUUUAACAUGGGGAAAUGGUUAUAGUCUAAUCUUACAACUCCAGUUUGUUCAACUCGAUCGAUAAGUUCUUCCCAAGCAGCUUUAUUAUACUCCUCCAUUAUUGAAGCAAUGAGAAUCCUAUCGGGAUACUCCUCUUUUAACUGCUUGAACUCUUUCAACAUAAUUUCAAGAGGCCUAUCGCUUAUCAAUUCAAUGUUCUCCCACCCAAUAAUCUGCCCCUUUGCAGAGCCAUUCGAAUCUGCUCGUAGCCGGGCAUAUCUAGGAGUUACAUUUAUAACUUUUGCUGCAUCUAGUGACACCUAACAGAGAUACAUGAAAGGGAAAUGUAAGCCAAUGGACAGAUAGCCGAACCAAUAGCCUCCAGCCAAAGAUCAAUCUUAAAAUCUCAUAGUCCAAACAGUUGAAUCAUAUUUCUAAUAAAUAAACAAUCUCUAAAUUGACUUUUCUUCCAAUUCUUUGCACUAAUUAUGUCUUGGAUUUUCAAGAUCUUUGUGAAAGCUAACAACAGCAACAGAUUAACAUUAACACUAACUCGAUUAAUCAAAUCAGGGGUCAAUAGAUCACAUUAACAAAGUACAGGAAGAGAAAAUGAAAUGAUCUAAAAGUAAGAAUACUCCCAAAUUACAUUUCACAACUUCAUCAAAUACAAACAAUUUCCCAAUCAAUAUUCCUUAUUACAUCUUGAACUUUCCCAUCUACCUUCUCAGUAACCAAACAGAAUCAAAUAUAUCAGAGAAAACUUACAGUUUUGGCAAUCACAGCUCCCCAACCUUCAUCAAAUGCCCUCUUCAUAACCGUAUAGUUAGUUCCAGGCGGACCCGACCCAAUUACAAACGGGUUGGGCAUGUUCAACCCAUUGACUGUCACACUGAGAUCGGGCUCCGCCUGAGCCCCACCGGAGGCAACCACUCUAAACCCAAGUCUAGUUGGUCGAGUCAAACCCGUCCGGGACGGAUUCAGAGCGAGGUUGGUAAUUGGGCUUUUAGUUCUGAAUUGGGUAAGGUUGAAGGACGCCAUGGAUCAAGAAACUGGAGCUCUGUGUAACUAGAAUUUCUGGAGUGGAACAGAAGAAGAAGGAAGAAGAAAAGGGUAUGUGAAUCUGAGGUGUAAUGUUGAAUCAAGAGCUGGAAAAGUGGGGUAUGAAGAAUCCUCCUCGUCGACUUCCGUUUGGAUUUACAUAAGUAAUCAAUUUAAUAUUCAUGGACGAUGAUGAUGAUGAUGGAGAAGAAGAUGAUCAGAUUAAUUAUUCAUUAUUCCUUGACACCUUUUCAUUAACUUAGGGAAUAAAAAAUAACUAAGAAUCGAUUUUAAAUAUUCUAUCUUUAGGGAAAAAAUACCUUUUUGUAGCUUACACUUGGGUCAAUGUUGUAUUUAAACUAAAAUAAAUUAGACUAUAAUUUAACAAAUACACCCAUAACAAUCACUAUAACUCAAAUCAACAAUGAAUUGAGUUAACAAAACUCACUUACUUAAAACAAAUUGAAACUUACACAUUAUUUGAAAAGCAAAAUUAAAAGAAAAUGGGUAAAUUUAAUAUCAAAUUUUCCUUAUAAACUAGAAUUUUGACUAUAGAGGCAAAACCAAGGUGGCAAAUGAGAAUAUGGAAGAAAAAGAAAACAAACAAACUGCGUUUGAUUUUUAGGUAAAGUGGCAUUGAAACAAAUUACACCAAAUUUGUCAUUUCUGCCUAACAAAUUUGUAAUUACACCAUUAUUCAACUAGGGAGAAAUGGGCCGGCCCGUUUGCAAAUACCCAUGCUUCAUUUUGACCCAUUAAGCCCAUAUAAAGGAGAUAUUUGUGGUAAUAACAAUAAAAAGAUAGGUAUUAUAAUAAAAGUGUAAUAAGAAAAAGGUAGUGAAUGGAGAAAGUCCAUUUUGGGGUGUGAGCCGUGAAGUUAGAAGGUAAAACGACAGCCCCAUGAACGUUUUGGAUAGAUGGCCAAUCUCCCUUCACUUUAUGUUUUUCAAUUUCAUUUCUAUAUUGCUUCCUCACUUGAAUACUUCCACGUUUGUAUCUCUUUUUGGAAAUGUCAUAGUUUCCUUUUCUUUCUAAAUUCAAUUUCAUCAAUCCCCAAAUUGAGUAACCAAACUAUAUACGUCAUUUUGAGCAUAUAAAAGUGAUUGAUUGGCCAAGACUUUUGAGAAUAUAAAAGUCAUUGGUGAAGACUAUUCAUCCGAACACUUACACUUUUCAUAAGAUAAAUAAACUAAUGAAACUCACGUUUUUUGUCAGAUAGAUUAACUACUCUGUCCAUUAUCAAUUGAUUUUGAGAUAAAAUCUCAUACUAUCAAACAAAUAUCUAAAUUGGAUUCUUAUAAUGUCACAUCAUGGUGAACUACACAAAACUCCUAAUUUGCAACAUUCCGCAACCAAAUAUAUACUUGUUUGAGUCAUGAAUUAUGUAUAUUUUCCAACUCCAAAGUGAUAGAUAGGGUAACACUUGAUAUAUUUAUUUGACUUUUAGCUUUUGAAAACAAAACUUACUUCCAACCCAUUUCUACUUAAAAAAAAAAAGUUGAAUAUAAUAAAUUAAUUUGUAACUAUUAAGAUGAAUAUUUAUAAUUAAGAAGGUUGUGCCCAACGGAGUUAAUUAAUUAAUUAAUUAAGAUUCAAAAUUGACAACAAUUAAUACUAUAGUAGAAAACAACUUAUUAAUAAAUAAUCGUCUAAGUCUACAAGUGGCAUUGAGAAGUUGAUUGAGGUUCAUGAACCCUUCACAUCUUGAUAUCUACAAUACACACACACACAUAUAUAUAUAUAUUAUAUUAAAUACCUUUUUGUUGUUAUUAUAAUUUUAAAAAUAUCCCAUUGGAUAAAAUCGUUUUCUUUUUAACUUUCCCAAAUUUCCCUUUUCAGCCUCCAACAUUCCGAACCUUUCCCGAACCAUCCUUUUUUCUUUUUUCAAUCUCCCAACCAACCAAUAUCUUCCACCUCACUCUCUUUUUAACUUAUCCUCAUUUACCAUUCUUCUAAUUAUUUCUAACUAUAUAAAACUUUUUAUUUUCAAAAGUUAAUCAAAAUAGAAUUGAGUCAUAAAUCUUCAUAUUUCUAACAUUUUAACCACAUAAAUUAACUAAACGUAUAAAUGACUUGAAACUUAUGGAAUAUGUAAGGUAUACGUGAUGGUGGUGUAAGCAUAAAUAAUAUACAAAAAACGAUUAAAUAAGAAGAAUAGUUAAUUAUUAUAUUCUAUAUAAGUUUUGGCGGUUCUCUUUUUGAGUUACAUUAAUUGGGUUUAAGGAAAUUAUUAAUUAAAAGGAAAGUAAAAGGGAAAAAAGAAUUAGGAUUUAAUUUUUUCUUCUUCUUUUUUUAAUGUUAAGAGCACAUGGAGAAAAUGUGAGAGUAAUUGGGAAUGCGAAGGAAUCUUCCUUUUUUAGCCAUACUUCUAAAUAAUUAGGUUUUUCCCUUUUCUAUUAUUUUAUGUUUAUUUUAUCUUUUCUUUAAAGUAAUUCCUUAAAUCCUUUAGGUAUAUUUCAAAAUGCUACUAAGUCUAUCAAAGCGACCUCUACCUUCUCUUUCAAUAAAUGGGUCUCUCUUUCUAAACUAAGAACCUUCCUUUCAAUGGAGACUAACUUUUAUUUAAAUAUAUAUAUAUUAAAGUUGCCCAAGACAUAAACGAGACCUACGUAGCCAACAAUCUAUCAUACGUCUAUCAAAUAACAGUAUAAACAAAAAUAUCAAAUAAUGUACUUUUAAAUUGUAAUAAGUCAUUCUAGACAUGAUUUUGUAGUUAAAAAUACAAAUUAGUUACCAUUUAGAAGAUCAAUGGCUAAUCAAUUAUUUGCCAAAAAAAACUUUAAACUGCUAUGCAUUUAAUUUAUCAUAGUGGUUGAAAAUUUUAGCUCAACUAAUUAAAGUGGGUCAUAUCCUUAUCUAACAUCUUCUUACGCUACAAAGUUCGGUAUCCAUAUAUUGUAUAUAUCUUUUUAUAAAAACGAGCAUCUAUUCAAUAUCUUUAUAAAAAAAAGUGUCUAGCACUCCAUACUUGAAUUUUUGAUUAUGACUUAGUAGAGAUAACAUUUCAAAUGAAUUCUUGAAUUUAAUCGGUAUAUAUAAUUAAUAUAGAUUCAUUCGAUGUUAUUUCGCAUCUUUUAUGAACAUAUUCGACACACUUGAAUUAAAAUUUAAAAUCGAGGAAGCAUGAGAUAUUUAAUAUAUUAUAAUUAUGGAGAAAAGUUGUAAUAUAAAUAAAAUUAAACAACAUUAUAGACACUAAUCUAAUUUCAACUAAUCCUCAACUGACAUUAUAAAAUGAGAAUAAUAUAAACAUUUUAUAUCAUAAUGUUAGGUGGAAUGUCACUAUAUAUAAACUUUAAUAUAUGUGAUGUCAAUAGCAUGUGGAUUUGUUAAUAUUUUAAAAAGGAAAAAAGAUGAGGAAAAUAAUAAUUCAUCCUAUGAACUCUUUAGAGUUUCAACAAAUAGAUUUGUUUUUAAUUUUUCUAAAUUAAUGAGUCAAUUAAUUUUCAAAUUUAGUAAAAAAAGAGAUUUGAUUUUUUGAAUUGAAGAAUUUUUCUUUAAUACAAAAAGUACAAAAAUUCUCCGGAAUUCUGCUGGGGAUUUGGAGGAGAUUCAAAGAUGCUAUGGCUACAGAUGAAGAUUCCAAUGGAAAAAAAAGAGGAAUAUAUACAGAAAGAAAAGGUUCAUCCGAAUUCCGCAAGUUCAUGUACAGAUCUCACAAUUUGGCUUGAUCUAAUUUUAAACUGACAUUCAUUCGGACCCUUACAAUUCACGGCGUGGAUUCAUCGAUUAUCCGAUGAUCUCGAUGAUUCCCUGCAUACAAACGGAUGCGUCAACAAUUGUGCCGCCGUCCAUCUUUUACUCGAUUCCUUCUGCAAACAACACUCAACAAAGCUCCGAAACUCCUCCGAUGCAUCCUCUGGCAGCUUCGGUGGUUCACCGAAGCAAAUCGCACACAUCAGAGUCGCCCAAUCCGGUCUCUGUCCGGCCGGAAGAAACGGGAAAUGACCUAAGUAAAGUUCUAGAAGAGUAAGGCCUAAACUCCAAAUAUCUCCGGCAUAACCGUUGUAAUUUCCGCCGUACGUCUCGGGAUCGAACCGCUCUGGACUCAUAUAAGCACAAGUUCCGACGUAAGAAUUGCAAGCAUCCAAAGUCCUGCACAUAAUUUUACUAACUCCAAAAUCGGCAAUCUUAACCUCCAUAUUCUUAUUCACCAACAGAUUCGACGGUUUAAUAUCACGAUGAAUGAUUUUAUGAGAGUGAAGAUAAUGAAGACCAUUAAGAACCUGACGCGAUACAUGAGCCAGCGUCGCUUCAGACAAAGUCGAGUUCUUCUUCAAUAACGAAUCAAGAGAUCCAAGAUCCAUAUACUCCAUCAAAAUCGUUACAUCUCCAGAAGGUUUCUCAAAGAUUCCAUGACACUGAACAACAUAAGGAGAAUCAGUCCGACGAAGAAUCUCCAUCUCUCUGAAAACUUGGCGACGAACGGUGGGGUCGCAGUCGCCGUGGACGACCUUGAGUGCGUAAGUAGUGGAGGUGCGUUUAUGACGGACUUUGUAGACGGUGCCGCCGUUACCGUGACCGAGGACUUGGAGCUUGUCGAGGUCGGAGGAGGAGAUGGCGGAGGGAGCAGCAGGAGCAGGGGGAGCAGAGGAAGGAGGGAGUGGAAGGGGGAAGCGAGGACGACAGUCGGAGAGAUCGGGGAGACGGAGGUUGAGGUGGCGGCGAUCACGGACCAAAGCCAUAAGAGAGAAGGGGAGGGAAGGAAUUGGAAAAACGGAGGAUUUAGGGAAUUAGGAUAAAAGUGAAAUGGGGAAAGGAAUUUGUAUAAAUAAGUGAGUGAGGGGAAGCACGUGGGAAAGUGGAAGAAAUGGAGAAAUUAAAGGAAGUUGCCACGAUGGACACCAUCAUUGUGGGCUGUGGUGAGGUCCGGCGUCGUUUUGAUUUAAAAAUACAACUAACUACUUAAUUAAGGUUUUAAUUAAUUAAUCAUAAUUCUAUUAUUACUUUAUAUUUAGCCCAACUCUAAUUAACACAGCAAUAUUGGGUUUUUUAUGUUAAUAUGUUUAAUUAUUUAUUUUUUUGUGACAAAUUGACAGUAGGUAUAGUACAAUUAUUAUGCAAAAGCUAGCCAUUAAUUUUCUAAUAAUGCAUAUAUAUGUUUCCAUUAAAAGAAUGGAAUUUUCCAUCCUAUUUUCUAUGUUUUGUGCAUGUUUAAAUUAAGAAAAAGUAGGUGGGAAAUGUGAUUUAAAUUUGGCUUAAAUAUUAGUUUGUUUCAUGUUGGUUGGAUUUUAGGGUUUUCUAUUUUCUUUUUUUCUUUUUUUCAAAUUCUUUCACUCAUUAUGAUAUAAUAGAUUUUCUAUUGUUAAUAUUACAAAAAUAUUCACGUCUUCUUGCGAGAAAAUUAUUAUUAUCAUUUCAAUAAAAUUGACUAAAAACUAGAAUUGGGAUUAGAUCAAUAAAAGAACUAAAAAUAAACAAAUUUGAACUUUAUCCCCAACACUAAUAUAUUUUUUACAAAUACACUUUUUGAGUUUUUUUUUUUUAAAUGGCUUAUAAAAAUUUGGAAGCCAAUAUAUUUUAUUAAAAACUAAAGAAAUAGUUUUCAAGCUUUUUGUAUUAAUUUUAGAUAUAUAAUAAAAGUGAAAGUUAGAAUCGAAUAAUUGAUAGACAAUCAACAUAAAUAUAAAAAAAAGAAAAAUUAAUAAAAGAAAAAACUUACCAAAGCAACCAAAUAUUACCUUUUUUUCAAAAGAUGUAUAUAUUAAACAACAUCUAUAAGAGAACUCCACAAUCAAAGCCAAAGGAGGAAGCAAAUGACACAAAAACAAGCUAGAUGAGAAGCAUAAUACAAAUAGAAGAAUCAAACAAGAACAUAGAACAUGACAAAACAAACCCGACUAGAGCAAGCCAACAAUAUCCCCAGUCCAUAAGGUAUAGCACCACGAUCACAUGCAAACAGUAGAAAAAUGAAACUUCAUAACUACAAAUGAGCUACCAGCAAGUCGAUAAAGACCAUAAUAUUAAAUAAAUCAUUAAAGAAAAAUCAAAACAAGUAAAUAAAUAAAUAAAUCUUGAAAGAAAAAAAAAAAGCUUAAAAAAUUAAAUGUUAGGGUAAAAGAUAAAAGGUGUCACAAAGAUUUGGUUGAGUAGAUAAGCUUAAAGCUUGACUUCAUUAUAUCACGUGAGGUUAUUUUCGUCAAUUUCAAGAAGCCGCCGACGACGUUUUCCCUAAAAAUCGCCAUCUUUUCCUCCGCUAAUAAAUAAAUAAAUUACCAUAACCUUUUCAACUAAUAAUAUAAUAAAUAAAUGAGCAAAAACCUACCCAUAAAAGAUACUUGUAAAUCCACCUAUUAUUUUAACAAAUGGCAAAAUUUUUAAAAAUAUCUAUAAAUAUUUUGUUAUUUUACUAUACUUUUUAUUUUUCAGAUCAACGAACAAUCCCAAGAGAAUGUCUUAGUUAACAUGAACUUGAAUUCAUUUAUAAAAUUCAAGUGAUCUAUGAUAGCUGUAUACAAUUAAUUAACAACGUUUAAUUAGGUACGUAAGAAAUGAUGAACAUAUUAAAAGAUAAUAAUAUAAAUUGUGAAUAUAAUGACAGGUAGAUAGUAAAAUGUCACAUUCUUUGAAUGACCCAUCAAUAAGAAAGGAUGUGGAAAUAUGGGGGAAAGAUAAAGACACAUAAAUGUAUAUGGGGCAAAGACAAAGAGGGAUGCUUCCAUAGUGGAGGCUUUCUCUCUAUACAAGUUGAAAGGUGGUGGGGGUGGGGGAGGGGCGAGGGAGGGAGGAGAGGGUCCUCAUUCCUCAUCUCAAAAUUGACAUUUUUUUUUCUUCUUUACAUUUUAUUUUCAAAAUUAAAGUUCAUUAUAUACAAAGAUGGGUAGGUUAAGAGUUUGCCAUGUGGGUAUCUCCAAUCAUUAAUUUCAUAUGAAAAUUUCAACCACCAACUUGCUUCACAUAUUCCAUAUAAUAUAUAAUUAGAGAUUGGUUAUUGGAAUCAAUUUCCCUUUUUGCCUUAUAGAUAUAUAUAUAUAUAUCCAUCCCCACACACUCAACUUCCCAUCAACUCCCCAACUAAAAUUAAAUAAUUUAUAUUAAAAUGCCUCAAAAAAUAGACAAAAGAAAUGUCAAAACUCAUAUGCUAGUGAAGCAAAAAACAAAUAAGUAAAGUAAGAAAUUAAUUAAAGCCCUCUAUGCCCUACAAUAUGCACUGACUAAAUUACUAGUAGCUAGUAAAAUUCAUACCCAUAUGACCCAUAGAUUGUGAAUAUUGAUUAGUCUAUUGUUUUCAAACCAAGGUAGCAUGGUUUGGCUUUGUUUUCCGCAUUUGAUUUAAUCACUUAAAUUCAACGGAUAAACACAAAAAUAACACUCUCAAAUUAAAGAUAAAAAUCAAAUUUUAUUGUAGAUUAAUAUAAAAAAGAGAGAAUAAAACGAAUAGAUGUAGAAUGGGUUUGAAAUAUUAACAUGGAAUAAUGGAGACUCAUAUUGUAAAAGCAUAGACAAAGUGAUUGAAAUACCAUAUUAAAAAAUGUAUGUGAAUAAUAAAAAAGUAUAAGUUGGACAUUAAUGAAAUGGAAUGCAUGCGUUAGUAAGUGAUAAUAUAAUUUGGAAAAUGAAUUAAUUUAAUAAAAUAAAGAGGAGUUAAAAUAUAUAUUUUUAAAAAAAAAUUGAAAAAAAAAUACAAAAUGAAUAGAGCAACGGUCAAUAGUCAUGGCCGGUCAGUGGUCACCAAACUUGGGCAUUUGCGUUUGCAAACGAAUCUUAACGCCGUCAAGACCGAUAAAAAAAUAUUCGGUUGCUUUUAGCACACCGAUUAUAUAUAUUGGUUAUCACCUACUAAAAUGACAAAUUAGAAGGGUCCAAUUUAAAAAUGACAAAAACAAUACUUAUCAUAGUUUAAUUUGAUUUCACUAUCUGAAUUAUGUUUCUAAAAAUUAAUUUUGGAUUAUCUGUGGUUAAAAUUAGGGAUGAGUUAUAUUUAAAAAUUUAUAAUUAUAACAAAAUCAAUCUUAUUACGAAUAGACUAACGUAAAAUGUUUUAUAUACUUAAUUAUUAUUUUUUAAAUUACCACCUAUUACAUACGUACAUAUACCGUUUUUCUUAGGAAAAGUCACGGGGAUGAAAAAGGGGAAAAGAGGUGGGGAUGGAGAUGCAUAGUGGCUAUGAGACUAGUAUGUAAUCAAGGGUGCAUACAAGACUAGUAUGUGUAUUUGUGUGUAUCUAUAUUACAAGUCAUUAAAGUAUAUUAUAUGGAGAAAGAGUUGGAGACUUAAAUUUGGAAUAAAUUGAAAGUGGUGGUGUUAAAUAUUAAUUUGGUUUCUCGAUUAUAGUCAUCAUAACCUAAGUUAAUUAGAUUUUGGAUUUUUAGUUUGAUGGUUAUUUUAUGUUUAAUCAAUUAAAUACCAAUGGUGCAUGUAAUUGUAAUAAUCCAAUGUUUUAUUUUCUUCCCUUUGAAAAUAGUCACAUUGCUUUAAAUAAAAACUACUUUAACAUACUUAAUCAUAAAAUAUAGAUUUUGACACGUUUCAAGGUCUAAGUAGAUAUAAAAACGUUCCCUAAAAAACAAAAAACAAAAAGCAAUUGUGUAUGAAAAUUAAAUUAUAUUUUAUUUAACUUAAGGUGACACGUAGAAUAUAGUUAUUGACACAUUUCAUAUACUUAAUAAACACAAAAUUAAAAACAUAUAAUCAAAACAUUUUCAAAUAUAGUUAAAUGAGUAGAAAUAUUUAUAAAAUAUAGUAAAAUAUUAGACUCCAUCCUUAAUACAUUUUUAUUAGAAAAAUUAUGUCAAAAUAUUUAGAAUAAAAAUAGUGAAUUACGUCUAUUUUUUAUAUAUUGCAAACAUGGCUGUUAAAAAGAUUAUUAAUAAAAUUAUGAAAUGAGUAUUGAAUUUUAAAUUUGAUACUUAUCCAAUUUAGAAAAUAUAAUAACAUUUAAUUUAUUAUCAUAACGUUUUUUUAUUCAAUUUUACAAACGUCUCUUUUUUUAUCUGAAAUUUAUUAUAAUUUUUUUUUGUAAAUAUUCGAGGGUCGACUUUUUAAAAAUAUUUAUAAAAUAUAGAAAAAAUACAAAAAAAUUUUAAAAAAUGAAAUAAAAUCAGAAGAUGCAAGAAAAUCUGAAUUAUUGCACGAAUGCCACGUGUCAAGUUAAUGAAGAUCGGACGAUAAUGAAAGCAUGAGGAUGAAGAAGAAAAAGCAUGGAAGCAAAGCACAAUUCUUUAUUAACUAUUGAUUCUAUUUCUUUCUUGUUCAUUAAGAGAGAGGAGCGUGGAAGAAGAAGAAGAAGAAGAAGAAGAAGAAGAAGAAGAAGAAGACAACGAAGAGAAGAAGUAUAAGAAUUUAAUUCCGUUGGUCCAUUCUGUAUUUUGUUUUGUGAAUUAGGGCAAUUUCGUUUCAUUAGAAAAUGGCGUUGCAAUGGAUGCUUUUGGCUUAUACGGUGGCAGUGGAGGCUGCCAUCGCCCUUCUCCUUACUGUUCCUUCGCCUAAGUUGUUGAAGAAGCGCUUCGUUUCUUUGAUUUCACUCAUUUUACAACCUGCGCUCUUUGUUGUGCCCUUUUCCGGGUUUCAGAUUCUGGGUUUUUCCCUCCUCUCUUCCUUGACUUUCUUCUAUUUUGAUUUUGUAUUUGUUUUUCCUUGCAAAUCUCGGGAACCUGAGAUCGGACCUUGACUUUUGUUUUGAGGGAUUUUUUUUUUGUGUGGUACUGUGUAGAUAUCUACUGGAAGAAUGAGCACCGGUUGAUGUGCACAUCUGAGAUCUGUACUGCUGCUGAGAGGGAUAGAUAUGAGAAAUCUGUAAGUAUAAACGCGUAGUUGGGUUUUUCUAAUUUGUGGUGUUUUAAAACUGAGGUCUUAAGCAUGCGGAAUUAGACGAUCGGAUUCUUUAUUUUAUUUUUCGUUUAUAUUAGAAAUUUGGAUUUUCGAAGGAUUAGAAAUUGGUGGAAUGUGGAUGAAUCUAUGAAAUGCGGAUAUUUAACUCCUCCUAGUUAACGCUAGUAAUUGGUAGAAUCUGGAAGGAGAGUGUAUAGUUGGGCUAUUUUUCCCUGAUAAUGGAAAGUCUGGACAUUUUUCCCAUAUUGUUCUUGAUCAUGAUCCUACUCAUGUACAUUUCCUUACAACAAGCGAGAUUGAAUCCCUCAAGUCUUUUGUAGAGCAAAAGAUUGAAGUGUUAGAACAUACAACACCUCUUUUAAGUAUAUGAAUCUAGUUUGAUGAUGCCCUAUAUCAUUUUUCGUAUAAUUUCAUUGGAUAUGAACAAGUAGGGCAAGUGGAGUGGAAACGAUAUGAUGGAUAAAGUCCAGACCAUUAUAAAAUCCGAUGUUGUAUAUGCUCGAAUGAGACUUGAGUAGGAUAGAUUGAAGAUUUGGUUGUGAUUAGAACAUGAUGAACAACGAAGUGGUUGCCAAAGAUUUUUUUGUCAAAAUAAGAAGACUAAGAAUAGUGGGAUGGUGGGUGGGUGGAUGGGGGUGGAUUAGAAAGAAUGAGGUAAAUUAGAAUUGAACCAUUAUGGAACUGUACUGUUAUUGUGGGGUUUAUAUUGGCCAAGCCUUAACUUUCCAGUUUCCAAGUAUAUUCUAAUUUUACCCUAGCUUUGAAACUAACUAGCUGUUUGUUGUAAUUUUUGGAUGAGGCGAGAAAACAUCUUUCUAAAUGAUGUAUUCUCUCCUCAAGAAAUAUUUUUCUGCUAAAGAAAUCAUAAUCCAUAUCAUGUAGAAAUAUCUUUUUCCUUCUUUUUCUCUAUACAAUUUGAAAAUCUACUCUCUCAGUGUCAGUGUUGUAUGCAAUCUGAAAAGAAACCUGCAAUGUAUAUGUUUUGCAUAUGCAGUCUACUAGGAUCUUCCUUCUCCCCUUUGAAAAGAAAUCCACAACGUGGGAAGGAUGAUAGAAACUAAGGGGAGCAUGGGAUGAGGAGUUGGGAAGUAGGUAGCUGGAGAGUGUGGAGUUGUGAACCACAGUACUUCUUGUUUGGCCCAAGGGGGUUUGUAGGCCUCACCACUAAAAAAUACAUCAAUUUUAUACUUAAUUAACUUCUUACACUGUGGGUCCCAGGAAUUAGUAAUUUUCCAGACUUCAUUGCUCCAUGGAGUUCACAACUUCAACUCUUUUCCCAAACAAGGGUGCAGGAAAAAACUAUCCUCAAAUAGAAAAUGGGGAUAACGGGAAAUCUGAAUGUGUUUAGUCAGUAAACUCAUUUUUUUCUCCAAAAAAUAAAAACAAAAUACAACCUGUGCUCUGCUAUGCUGAACCACCAUAUAUUCCCAGGUAAUUUCAGGGGAAAAACAUUUUCUUGAAAACUUCUCCUAUGAUCACAAUCUCUAAUCUUAACUCGUAAACAAGGAGUUUAAUUGUCGUGCAAUAUCUCCAUAAUUUUGUUUUUCUGAUGCUUGUUAGGGAUGUGUUUGUAAUCAUGUAUAGUAAUUGAGAGACUGCAUUUCUAUACCCCUUAAUCUCUGUGGACAAACAGAAUUGUCUUUCCUCCCUGAUCCCUACUAUGCCAUUCUUUUAUCUUCUUCUUACUUUCUCCCGACCCUUACUAAGAAUGUUCAUUAUUCAGAUCUAUAAAGCUCAGAGGAAUGUGAUUCUGUGCAUUGCUGCAUGCCUUCUCUACUGGUACGUUACAAGAAAACCCUAUCCUCAUUCGAAUAUUCUGACUCAUGUCAAUUUUGUUUUGUCUGAACUGCUUCCGACGGUACACUUGCAGGUGCAUCUACCGCAUUUGCAAGUAUAACAAAGAGAUCGAAAGUUUGGAGGAAGUAGAAAAGAGAUACAAAGAACAGUAGGUUUCAGGAAAUAUGAAAGUCCUGUUACAUUUUGAAUGGUUUUUUUUCCGCCACGGCUGUGUUAUUCAUACUUGAAUCUUUGUUUGUACUCAAGUAUUGGAACUAUCAACGUUACUAGAACACUAAAACUUCGUUGAUUUAGCGACGUUCAAAUAUUAAGCUCCAUGAAAAAUGCACUCAAACCAUUACUAUUGUUGGAUAAGUGGGAAUAAAACAAUCUUAGGAAUGGACAUGAUUGCAAUGAUAUAGAAUGGUCUCGUGUGUUUUACGAAGGAAACUAGAGUUUUCUAUAAAUUUCUUUUAGUUCCGCUAUGGUUUCUACAUGGCCUCAAAUGAUGAAAUACCUUCGUCUUAUAUCCAAUGAUGCUUAGAAGAGAGAUGCAAAAUUAUCAAUUUUUAUAUAUUUGUGGAUGAUUGUAUGGAUGGUUUUAUGUGCAUAUGAAAUUGACACGUGAUCUCAAUUUUUUUUUUGUGGAAGAUCCUGUGGGAAAAAGUUAUUUGAUUUGUUGGGAUUCUGGUGUGAAAGAUAUUUGAGAUUUUAGAUAGGAGAAUCGAAAAAUAAACAUAUUUUUCCAAAUAAAUAAAUGAACAAUAAACAUCCACGAAUGGGUUGUGACUAAUUUGUGGAAAAUAAAAUUUUGCAAAACUUAGGAUGAUAGAUUAUUAUUAAUUUGCAUUUCCUUUUCAUUCUUAGAACCUUAGUUCUUGGACUCAAUUUUUCUAAAAAGGAUCUAAUACUUCGAUUUAUCUUUCCUUAUAUCUUUCCGUAUACAAAUUUAAGAAGAGUAGGAUGAAAUUUAUAAUUUACAGAUUAGAUUUUAUUUUAAAAUAAAACUUAAUUAUCAAUUAAAGUAACAAAUUAAUUUCAAAAUACGAGAAUCUGAAUCACAUCUUUACAUAUAAUUUUAAUUAACACAUUUGGAAAAAGUAUAAAAGAAAGCAUCCUUCGUGGAACGUAACACAUGUUUGUUCGGACGUCAGACUUGAAAUUCAGCUCUCCCACGUCUUCUUUAUUUCUUUCCUCCAUUUUUUUCUCUCCGGAACCGUCCGUCUGCCACCUUUCUCUAGGGUUUCGCUUCUUCUCCGGUAAAAUUCCCCAUCCUUUAUUCUCCUUUGUAUUUUUCUCGUCUAUUUCUGGCCUUUUCUUUUCGUUUUUCUUCAGAAUUUGACGGGGUAUGGGUGUUUAAUGGUGUGGUUUUGGAUUAUUCUAUUUGCAGGGUUCGCAUGGAAGCUGCUAUGGCAACUGUGAUUGGAUCUCCUGUUGGAGUUUUUGCUCGCUUAAAUUCUUCUGGAAGAUCGGAAAUCUUCGGCAAUGGACUUGGUUUUGUCCGCUUUCCUUCCCUAUCCCAUGUCCCUAUUCGUGUAAGAAUGUUGUUCUCUUUAUUAUACCUACUUCGCAAUUUACUUUUUCCUAUUUUGAGGUCGAUUGAUUUGUAGAUUUUUAAUUUGAUGUUCAAUUUAGCUACCAGGGGUUGGGUUCGGUAGUGGUCGACAAGGGUUGUGACAAAUUGAGAAUAGUCUAGGGAACACGGGGUGACUCGAACGCUAGUGGAUGUAAAACGAGGGAAAAUGCAAUUGAUGUUUAGUUUUUGAAACGGCUUGUUCUUGGUACUUUGUUUUUGCUAUGCUCGCAAUUUGUCUUUUGGGCUUGUUUAUUUGGGGUCUUAAUGACAACCUGUUUGUUCUUUUAAAAGAAGUCUUGAUUGAUGAUUUGUAGUGUAAGUGAAUCAGUGAUGGGAUGGGAUCCUGCGCCAAAUUUUCACUCUAUAACCUGCAAAGUUCAGUUUCUCUGUUAUAAACAUCUAAACUUAAAUUUGUUUCAUUUAUGAACUUGUAUGGCUAUUUUCAUGCCCAAGUAAUUUUAAUUAUAUUUUAUUAGGCCUAGUUUUUUAAUAAUAUGUGGGGAAGGGGAUUUUUAACCUUUGAGCUCAGUUAAUGGCCAGUUCAUAUAUGAUGUAUUUAUACCAUAAAUUUAGCAAUCGUAUGAUACUGACGAGGUAUAAUCAUUCAUGGGUUAAAUUCUGAUUUUUUUUUUUUAAUGAAAUUUACAAGGUAGUAUAAAUUUGGUUUGUAUCCUACUUUUUUAUUUGAUGGUGUUGCAUAUUCAUUUUAAUUUGAGUUUAAUUUUGGAUUAUGGUAUGUUUGUAAACUUCUGAGCUUUCUACUGUUUCUUCAAAUGCAUAUUUUCUUCAUGUGACUUAUGUUUAUUGGUAUUUUCUUUCGGUUGUGGCAGCUAUGCCCUCAAGUAUCUUACUCCAAACUCUGGAAUAAGAAAUUAGGCACUGGAAUUAGGAGAAGCACGAUAGUUAAGGCAUCCAUGGAUGCAGAGUCAUCUGAAUCAGAUGAACCUAUUGCUCCCCUUCAGUUGGAGUCUCCAAUUGGGCAGUUUUUGACCCAAAUCUUGGUUAGCCAUCCCCAUCUUGUCCCUGCUGCUGUUGAGCAACAGCUUGACCAGCUUCAAAAUGACCGGGAUGCCGAGGGGAAUAAGGAGGCUUCUGGUUCUGGUACUGAUUUGGUUUUGUACAGGUGAGUUUCUUAUCUUGAGCAAUUAUUGUGUUGACAAAUAACAGAAUGACUUGGAGACGUCUCCAGUUAAAUUUUUUACUUAUUAUCUGAUAGUGAGUGGUUUCCAUCCCAUAAUAAUGAUAAUCAGGUACAGAGAAUUACAUGGGAACUGAAAUUUCUUAGGUAGUCGCUUUCUAGUUCUUGGUUUAAUGAUUGUAUGGGAGUAAAAGGUUCUUAAUGUGCUAUUGAGAAGGUGCAACUGAAUAAUUGCUAUAUAUUGAGCCAAUAUGUUUACUUAAUGGGAAAUUGCUAGGUCUGGUUCUUUUUGGUUACACAAUAUAUCAUUUCUUGUAAGUGCAAUUAGAAUGAAGUAAUUGGUUUUUUAUCCUAAUGAAAUGUUAAGAGUGCAUGAAUAUGGAAGGUUUCUACGGGCGUUUGAACUAGUCUUUGUUAAACAUGACGCUUAAACAGCCAAAUAAUUAGACUUUAGGUGUACUAAUAUUUUCUAUUGCUUCUGCAAUCAUCAGGAGAAUUGCUGAGGUCAAGGCAAAUGAAAGAAAACAAGUUUUAGAAGAAAUCUUAUAUGCAUUGGUUGUACAGAAAUUCAUGGAUGCUAAUGUUCCCCUGAUACCUGCAAUAACCCCUUCAUCAUCUGAUGUUUCUGGUCGAGUCGACACUUGGGCUGCUAAUGAUGAGAACCUUGAGCAUCUUCACUCGCCUGAAGCAUAUGAAAUGAUUCAGAACCACCUCUCUCUCAUCCUUGGGAACAGGGUCAGUGACUCAACCUCAGUAGUACAAAUAAGCAAACUCAGGGUUGGCCAGGUCUAUGCUGCUUCAGUGAUGUAUGGCUACUUUCUUAAGCGAGUUGAUCAGCGGUUUCAGCUUGAGAAGACAGUGAAAGUUCUUCCGAAAGCAUCAAAUUCAGAAGACAGUAUCAUCCAACAAGCUAUUGGAGAGGAUGUGAGACCUUAUGUGGGUGAGAACUCACCACCUGUUUCACCACAUCCCGAAAUCGCAUCCUGGCCCGACCACGACGAGAACAGUUUUGGGGGAGUUAGUCAAAGUGUAAAAGCUUCUAGACUGCGCAAUUACGUCAUGGCCUUUGACGGGGAGACACUUCAGAGAUAUGCAACAAUAAGAUCCAAAGAGGCUGUCGGCAUCAUUGAGAAGCACACAGAAGCAUUGUUUGGUAGAGCUGAAAUUGUUAUAACACCUCAAGGAACCAUCGAUCCUUCCAAAGAUGAACAGUUGAAGAUUAGCUUUGGUGGUUUGAAGGGAUUGGUUUUGGAAGCUGUCACCUUUGGUUCUUUCCUGUGGGACGUUGAAAGCUAUGUGGAUUCAAGGUACCAUUUUGUUGUGAGUUGAGCUUAUAAUGUCAUUCAUACCAUAAGUAUGUUUGUACUCAAUAACAAGUUGAUGUGUCCGGGUCAUGCUGUAUAUUAACUAUAUAUUUGUUUUCCUGAUAGAAGGUAUAGAAGUUUAGGAGGAAAGAGUUUCAAUUUUUAGGGUAUACAGGAAUUUUAUUUGUUUGAAGUUUCUUUGAAAUUUCUUCUACUUUCUGAACAGAACACAACAAGGCAACACACAAAUACUUGGAUUUACUUUUAAACCUUUAGAAAGUCAAUUUAAACAUAACAGUUUAUCUCUAUCUACUGUUUUGUCCAUUCCAUGGGUUUUGAGAACAUGUGCUUUCUUUUGAUCACAACCAAGCGGUGUGAAUUAUAUCAGAAGUGGGUAAAAAUUUCACCCAAUUGUGUUUUCUUUACUAUUGUGAUUUCACAUACAAGGACCUGAUUCUUUUGUUGAAAGUGAUCAGAAGAGAAUAGGACGGUCAAAGUUGGUGACUAAUCUGCAAAUAAAUUACUCUUUGGCAUUUUAGUAAUUCUCUUGUACCAAUCUCUUAAUUAAAGCUUUUGUCUCUUCUUCUUUUUCGUAAAUAAUUGACUGAUCUCCACCAUUUUCUUUCUAUAAAUAUUUAAUUUAUUCAUAUGUGCCAUUAGGUUAUUGGUUUUUUGUUUUUGUUUUUCUGGGCUGAGCUUGUUUAAUCCAUGGCCCAUCUUUUUGGAGGCUUCUUUCUUUCUUUCUUUCUUUUGUAUUUUAUGUUAAAUUAAAGGUUUUUUUUUUUUUUUUUGUGUUUAUUUGAUCUGAAUUUUGACACGUGUGUAUUUGGAUUUUUCUUUAAUUAAUAGAUCUCCAAAUUAUAAAAAAUAGAUCUCUUAUAAACCACUUCUUCCAUCUAUUAAGGUCAAUUUUGAAAACCGUUGCUUUUGGAUUUGGUAUCUGUUUUUUAGUUUUGAAAACAAACUCCAUUUCUUUUCAACCUCUUAUUAUAAGUUUAUAUUUUUUAGGUAUAGCAACUUGACGAGUUUAUAAAAUUGUGUAGGUUUUUUUUAACUAGUAAAAACUAAUUGCCUAAAUAAUAGAUUUAGAGGUGGUAGAAAUCAUGGUUUUAAUUUUAAAAAUAAGAAAACUAGGGUGUUUUUUUUUUCUAACCAUUUUCGUUUUUUGUUUUUCAAAAUGAAGGGUUAUUUUCUCUUGUUGUGUUAUAAUAAUUUGCAUUUUUUUGGUAGUUGAAUUUUUAGCCAAAUUUAAAAUACAAAACAACCAAUGGUAUAAGCAUAAAAUUUCAAAAACAAUAUGGUUAUCAAACACAUUGUUUUUGUAUUCACAAUUGGACUAGAAAAUUUUACUGUUUUUUCAUAAUGGGUUAAAAUCACAAUGGAAAAUUGGGAGAAAUAAACAUACAUUUGUAUAAAUGUCUACUAAAAGAGGUAUGAGCUUUUAUCAAUUGUAUCCGAUAAGUUAUAUGAAUAUUGUACUAAUAGGUUAUCGAACUAUUUAACGAUUUUUAAAAUCUAUAAUUUAUUAAUAUUAUUAAUAUUAGAUAGAAAAUAAAAAGUUCAAUAUAUUUUUCAACAGAGAUAGAGUUAAACUGUAUAUCUAACAUAUUCAUUAGUCUAAUUUUUGUUUUUUAAUAUGUAAGAUUUUUUUACACCAUUAGACAUUUUAAAGUUAGGAUUCUAUUAGAAGUUAGAACUGAAUAGAUUACUCCACAUCCUAAAAUUCUACUUUUCAUUUAAAAUUUGCACAAAGAGCUUUAGAAAGUAGCCAUUAGACUAAUUAAAUUUUCCUUUCGUAUGAGAGUAUAUUGGAGUUACAACUUUAAUAAACUUAGGUAAAUGCAAUUAUAUUUAAUUAGUUUGAUGGUUUAUGAGAUUUAGAAAUGUGGUCAAAUUUAUUAAUUCCAUAAUUCAAUUAUGAUCUACAUUAUAGAAUUAGCUAAUGAAUAUCUAAAUAUUUGUCAAUUUUGGUACUCUAACCACCUAUAAAUGUAUAUACCAUAAAACACUUGAACUGAAUUAAUGCGAAAGAAUUUCGUAGUUAUCCAACUAUCCAUAAUAAUUCAAUUAGCCGAAUUUGCUUGAAACGUAAUCUGUUUAAUCAUAAUACCUAAACUAUACAUUAAUCGAUUCGACAUGUUACGUCAAACAUCAAAGUAGAAUUGAGAGAGAAAUUAAAAUGGUAAAAGAGGAGAGAAGUUAGCAGAAAGAUCACAUGGAGAGUUAGCUGAAAAAAGAAAUCAAUAGAAAAAGAAAUUGAUAUAUAGAGAGAAAGAAACAUUCUCACAAUUAUGAGAUUAUGAAUUGGCCAGGUUUUAAUUUUAUAUAGAUAUAAUUUGAAAUUUUGAGAGAAAAAAAAAGUCAACAAAAAAUCUGACUCUCUGAUCCAAUGAUGUAAGAGGGUGUGAUACAGAGAGCAAUCACUUCUCUUCUCUUCUCUUCAUUUGAUGUGAAAGCUCCUUUCUUUCUCUCUCUCUCUCUCUCUCUCUCUCUCUCUUUUCAAUUAGGGUUUUGCCUCGAAUUUUGAAAGGAACUAAGCAUCUGUUUUUGCAAAUUAGGUUUAGAAUUUGCUUUUUUUUUUUGUUUUUUUUGUUUUACAGACUCAAAAUAUUGUUUCUUUCAAGGACCAAAGAGGAAGAGAAAAUAAUUGAUUAUGAUCAACAACUCAAAUGCUGUCAUAAAAAUCUAUUGAUUUAAUCAUGUUAAUACUCUAAUCAAAUCACAUAACAAAGUCGAGUAGAUAGAACCUCAAAACCAACUUAAUUAACUAAAAGGGUUUAAAGGGUUUAAGAUGAUUGAAAGAAUUGAUGUAUGUAUAUUUCUUAAAGCUGACUCAGUGACUAAUUAAUCAAAAGGUAAAAACCAAAAUUUUCAUAAAAAGCAAAAACAUCUCUUUUAUAUAUAAUAUAUGGAACUAAUCAUCAAUAUAUUUGAAUCUAACAUUUCAAUGAGAAGGUCAAGAAAGAUAGAAAAAGUUCAAAUGAAAAAGAAAACUCACCCAACUAAUUAUUAACUAGAACGAUGAAGCAUAAUUGAAAUAAUCAAAGUGUGUAAUCAAAAGAAAACUUAACUAAGUGAGGCAUUUUAAAACUAAUUAACCCAUUGACAAACCAAAAGGUAAAAAUAAAUUUUUUUAAAAAAACAACUUUUUUCCUUAAAAGAAAACCCCAUCUAUAAAGCAAACCCAUGUUUGUUUUCCCUUCAAAAAAUACAUUUAAAAAAAAGUAAUAAUACAAACUUGCAUUAUUGUUGUUCUAAUGAUGAAAAAUACUCAAAGUUAACAUAUAGCAAGAAAGAUAUAAAAAGUUCAAAUUAAAGAAGAAAAGGAGAAGAAGAAGCUCAAAUUCAACUACUAAAAGGAUCAUCAACUCAAAGUGAAAUAAUAAACAAUACAUAUAUUUGUAAGUUAAGUAAUUAGUGAGGGUAUUUUAAAAAUGAACCAAGUAGACAAAUCAAAAGGUAAAAACAAAACUUUUCCUAAAAAGAAAAACCCAUUUUGUAAAGCAAAAACAUGUUGUUAUUUAGAAAAUACAUUAAGGAAAAAAAAAAAAAGGCAACAAUAUACCCAUAUCUCUCUUGUAUAUUUUAUGGGUAUUGUGUUUCAAUUUACAAUUAAUAUGAUUGAAUUAAAAAGAAAGUGGGGAAGUGUGAUUCAUGAAUGAAAUUCCCUUUUGCAUUGGGAUAUGAAAGCAAAAGAAAAAGUUUAAAUGAUAUAUAUCCCAAAAUAAAGGCAAAGCAAAACCCACCAAGUUUUCACCCAAAAGCAAAACACAGUGGCCUAUGGUUUUUAGCCUCUCUGCCCCUUUGCCUUAGUCAAAAGCAUGUUGGAAUUGUUGCCAAAAUUAAAUUAAACUUCAUAAUCAAUAAACCAAUAAACCAAUAAAUAAAAUAUUUCAUUUCCAUUUCCAUUUUUUAUUUUUUAUUUUUCUUUCAAUCAUAAAGCAAUCGAUUGCAAAAUCAUUUCUCAAACUCAUUUAUGAUCGAACCCAAACUUACUGUUUCUCUCGAAAUUUACACCCAAUCUUUUUCUUUCAUUUACUUUCCUAUUUAUUUAAAUGGACAGUGACACAUUUACUAUUAAUUAUGUGUUCAUAUUAUGUCCAUAUUUUAAAAUUUAAUGGCACUUUGAUACAUUCCUCCCAGCUUUCUUCCCUUUGCCUCUUGCCCAUUACCCAUUACCCAUUACCCAUUUACUUCCUCAUACCCCAUUAUUUAGGUCCACAAUCCCCACCUUCCUUAUCAAUAUAUACACACACAUUAUAUAUAAUGUAUUGGUUGUUUCUAUGUAUCCAAUUCAUGUUGAGAUUCAUAGAGGAUAUAUAUAUAUAUGACUAGGUCUUCUUAAUCGGUUUUUGUAAAUUCAAGUAUACUUCAACGGUAUACCUUAAUGUUUGAUGAUUUUUCGAAAUAGUAGCUCUAACAAGACACGAUUCUAAGUGGAUGAUAUUUGACAUUAGUUAACCUCUCUUAUAGGUUCUUCGCAAGGAAAACAAUAACAAAAAUUUGCCUUAUUCGAGACAUCAAAUGCGAGCUACGAGAAAAUGAACACUAGAAAGAAGUUCCACUAUAUGAAAAUUAUUACGAGUGCAUCAAAGUAUCUCGAUGACACCAAAACUUACAUCACUUACACAAGUAGAGUUAGUGGAUCUAACUCAAAAUAUUUCUGUAGUUGAGAUAAUUUUAUAGUAUUUAGAGCCCACCAACUUCUUGGAUAAUUACUAACCCUAAACUUUUUAAUGCAAAAUUACCAUUUAAUGAGCUAUGAUUGUUCUUCUGUUCUUUGCUUAACUACUUUGUUGUAUUAAUAAAGUAACGUAGGUCAAUUUUUGUGAAAAGGUUCCUAUAAUAAUUAAUUUUCAAAUUGGUUAAUUAGCAUCUUUUGAAUUACUUAUUUUGCAUGCCCCAACUUUACUUUCACUUUCUAAUUUUAACUUUGGUUAAACUAAUCAUCAUUAAUUAGUCAAAUCUACUCACUAGGCCUACAUAUGUUUUAAGUAAUUAGUGUUUAUUAAUUAAUCAUAUUGGAAUUAUGAUAAUCUAGACAUCACGGGUCAUUUAUUUGUAAUAUUAACUGAAAUUAUUUAUAUUUUCCUUCUAAUUUUUGAAUGGAUAAAAAAAAAUCCUUAAAUUAAUUUAUAAUUUACCAAAAAGAAAAAAAAAAAAUCACUAUCAAAACACUUAAAAAGAUGUGAAUUUCCACUUAAAAGACAUCAAAAUCUCUCAUUCUCUAACAUAAGGCUGAAAGGCAACAAUCAAUUGUAAAAAUAUUGCUUUCUUUUCUUUUCUUUCUUGGCCUUUCUCUCUCUAGAAGAUGGAAAUAAUUAAAGUAUCAAAAUCUUUAUAUAUAUAUGCAAAUCAUUGUUAUCUUUUUGAAUUCCAGGUAAAGUAAAACAUUAUAUAUAUAUAUAUAUAUAUUCUAUAUAUUAAUUACCUCUUUUGCUUUAAUUUCUCUCAAAAUGGACUCUUCUUUUUGUUUGUUGAUUGGUUUCUUUCUUCUUUCAAAAAACUAAAAAGAAAAAUCCAUGUGUUUAGAACUAUAAUCAAAUAUUAUUCCAAUAGUUUGCUUACUGUGUACAAAUAUUGGUAUUGAAGUUUCUUUUCCUUUGAUCAUUUUUGGUCACAUUUGUAAGAAUGAUAACUGAUAAUAUUGAAAAGAGAGUUGAGGGAAAGAUAAUGAUUUAGACAAAAAAGAAUCACUUUUUAAGGUUAGAGACCCUUUUAAUACAUGAUGAAAUUAAAGAAGAUUUAAUUUUCAAGCUAUGAUAGACUCAAAUAAAAGAGAAGAAAUGAUUUUUUAGAAAGUUGAUAUUAUUUUGAUCAUACCAUAACUUUUUUUGUUGUUCAAUAAUGAUAUUCAUAGAGAAAUUGGUGCUAUUUAUAUAAACUAAACUUUAAAUGGAAAAAGAGAAUAUAUUACAACCCAAGAGAAGGGGGGAUUGAAUUAAAAUUUUGAAUCAAAUUAUAUUAGUUCUUAAUCUAAAGUUUUAUUGAUGGAUAGUGAACAAGAGUUUAGGGUUUUCUAAGUACAACAAGUAGGGACGUCGAGAUUCAAAUAUUUUACUUUAAAAGAAAAUAUCUUAAGACAUAUCGAUUAUUUAUCACAAAUUUGAGCUAUAUUCACCAUAACAACUUACAAGAACCUAUUUGAUAUAAUAAAAUUUGGUUGCAAACGUGAGUUUACAAAUUAAAACAAGGAUUUAAGAUUUUUUUUUUCUUAGUUCAAAAUAUAUAGGAGUGAUGAGCUUCAAUUAGUUACUAACAUCCAACAAAUUGAGUUAUAUUCAAGUUGAUAUUUUAAAAAACGUUUCGUUAAUCGAAAAUUUAUUUUAGAACAAUGCACACAUAAUAUGUACUUUUUUAUUCAUUACACGAAACUAAAAAACAAUAACGAAUAACUCAUUUUUAAUUACACAAAUAUAUUCUAGUAAUCUCUAUCUAUAAAAUAUAUUAAUGUGGUUUAACUAAUGAUCGAUGAUAAACGUCAAUGUUAAAUUUGUUCUUUUAAUAUAUUGAAAAAUUGGAAAUUGGAAAAGAAAAAGGGAAAUACAUAGAAUAUUGUGAACUCAAAUAUAAACCCAAAAUAUGCUCUUCCACAAAGUGGUUGGCCAAUGGAUUUUGAAGAGAAUAUUUGGAAAGCAAAUUUACAAAAUAAUAAUAAUAAAUAUUAUUAUUAUUGUAUGAUAUUCAAAAAUAGAUUUAGGGUUCAUUAUUUUUCUUUUUCUUUUUCUCUUUUCAUUCCAAUUUCCACAACCAUAUGAAUCAGAACAAACAACCCUUUAAGACUCUCUCUCUCUCUUUCUCUCUUUCUCUCUUUCUCUCUUUCUCUCUUUAGAUUUGAGGUCAAUGGGUCCACUAAUUAAUCAUUGUUCUUGACAAUUACACCCACCAAUUUUUUCUUAAUCAUAUAUUUUCUUUUCCUAAAUUAUUCUUUCCAUUAUUUCUUUAAUUCCUACAUCCCAUUUUCAGCAUUAUCUUAUUGGGUUUAGUGAUCACAUCUGUCACUUUUAUUGUAUUUAAACCUAAGCUUUGGAUUUUCUUUGCCUCAACCCUCAAAUUAUUACACAUUCAUUUUAAUUUCAUUUCUUCAUUUAAUAAUAAUUUGUCUACAAAAUAUUUGGGGUAUAAAUGUGAUCUUCAAAGGGGUAUGUUGGGUACUUUAGCUUAAAUAUAUACAUAUAAAUCCUUUCAAAAUAAGAAUUUUCCACUUUUAAUAUAAGCCUUAUAAUACACGAAAUAUGAUAAAGUAUUCGUGGUAUCAAAGCAAAGACCAUACGUAACGAUUUAGAAUAAGUUCUUAUUUUAAAGAUAAUAGCACAAAAUAAUCAAUCUUUCUAAAUUCCAUCCAACUUCUCAACAAUUUUUUUUUUUAGUUUUUUUGGAUCAAGUUAAUUAACAAACUUUUUUUCCACAAAAGAUAAUACAUUAUAUUUGAGACCAUUAAUGUGUAUUUAUAAUUAGCGAUAUCAUUUAUUUGCAAAUGAAGAAAUAAGAAAAUACUACACCGUAGUUAGAAAAUGAGAAAACGAAAGAACCAUAGAAGAACAAAAAGAAUGGUAACACGAGCAUAACCCCACUCAUAUAUAAAAUUUAUUAACUUCGACUUUGAAGUAAGAUGUUGGAGUUUGUAUUUAUUUAUAGGUGCAUAGAUUCUUAAAUUUGUGUUUAAUAGAUUCUUAAAAUUUUAAUGCUACAUUUGUAAAUAGUUUUAUGUAUUUUCAUAUAUUUGAAAACAACUUAUAACAACGUUUUUUAGUUUUCAAAACUUAGAAUGAGUUUUUUAAAACAUCAAAUAAAAAAAUGGAAGAAAUCAUUGAAUGAACAUUAAGCUCAAUUUUUUUUAAAGAGAUAAAAGAAAAAACUAAAUACAACAUUGGUAUUAAACGAGAUUUUAUAAUCAUUUUUCUAAACAAAGAUCGAGCUCUUAUUCUCGUCAAAUUCAUAUAUAUAUAUAUAUAUAUAUAUAUAAACCUAAAUAAGAUUUGUUAAAGUGAUAUCAUUUCAUCACUGUCAACAUACAUAAGUUCAACAAGUUUUUCUGUUGGAACAUGACAAACAAAUUAAGAGAGAAAGAGAGAGUUCACAAAUCUCUCUCUCUCUCUCUCAUCUAAGUGGUGUGUGUUUUGAGCAGUCAAAAUGCAAAGAGCAGCAAAAGGGGUGAUCUUCUUUUAAAAGGGUAUUUUUUUUUCCCUCCUCCUAAGACUAAGGAUUAUUAUUAUUAUUAAAAAAAUGAGAUGAAAUUAAAAUAAAUAAUUUCAUGAUAGAGAGAGAAAAAUAGAAAUAAUUAGAAAUUGGAAGGAAAGAUAGAGACUUUCACACAGUCUCUCUUUGUUCAACUGUCAUUUUCCUACACAUACUCUCUCCAUUUUUUUUUUCUUUUCUUUUUCUUUUUUGGAGUUUCUACCUCCCUCUCUCUCUCUCUCUCUCUCUCUCUCUCUCUAAACCUUCAAGGAUGUUUGUUUGUUUUGUAGAACACAAAAUUCCUUCCUUUUCCCCCUAUCUCUCUAACCUAAUUUUUCUCUCUCUUUUAAAACUUUUACUUAACCCCCUUUCACUUUCUGACUCAUCAAUUUCUCAUCCAUACCAAAAAAAAAAAAAAAGCCAAGAAAAGAAGAAAAAAAACCACUCUUUUUCUCUCUUGUGUUCUUAUUCUUCUUCUUCUUACUUCUUUGAUUUACUCUCAAAACAAAGAACUAAACAAAACCCACUUCUAAAAGCUUCUUCCUCUUUGCUAUUUUGCAAAAAUUCCACUACUUUCCUGCAUAAAGACUAGAUCUUUACUUGCCUUUUUUUCUUCUUCAAAAAUUGUAAAUACUACCCACUAAAAAAAAUGUUGGAGAAAGGCAUUAUUGUUCCUGAUCUAUCUCUUCAAAUUAGCCCUCCAAAAUCUAAUCAAUCUCCUUCAGUUGAUAUUUGGCCACAACAAAUGCAAGUACAGCAAGUUGACACCGAGCUCUCUCUGUCUAAUAAUUCAACGUCGGCGAUCGACGUUUCGACGGAUCGGUUCCGACCCAUUAGAGGAAUCCCAGUUUACAAUAACGGGUUGUUGUCUUCUUCAAGGUAUUUCAACCGAAACCAACAACCGACAACUUCGUCGUCGUCGAUGUCGCCACCGCCGUGUUUGAGUUUUAGGGCAUUUCAACAACAACAAGAUCAGGCAGUAGGGAGGUAUAAUGGGAUAACAAUGGAGGGUUUGAGAAACCAAGAGCAGAAUUUUAAUCAUCAAAAUCAGAACCAUCAGUUUGUUUUUCAAAAUCAACAAAGUCUUCAUUUUGGGGUUUCGGAUUUUUCGAGUAAUUAUAGUAAUAAUAGAUCGAGAUCAUUGUUGAUGCCAAGGAUUCAAAGUCGAAGAAAUGCUAGAGCUCCAAGGAUGCGUUGGACUUCUUCUCUUCAUGCUCGUUUCAUUCGUGCUGUCGAACUUCUUGGUGGCCAUGAAAGUACUUUCUAUCUCGCCCUCUCUCCAUUUCGCUCAUUUAUUAAAUCACAACUAAAACUCAAAAGUUUGAUAACAAAUUCAUCUUGUCGGGUCAAAACCCAAGAAUUUAAGCUGAAGUGUGAUUGAAAAGUAGUUCAACCAGCAAUUACUUAUAUUAAUUGAUGAGUAAAUGACGUUGGAUACUGGACAGAGAUUCUUGUUUUUUUUUUCUUUUCUUUCUUUCUCUUGUUGGGUUUAACAAUAUGCAAUAUAUAGUGGAGUGUGAGAUAAGCUAUUGAAGUAUUUAUUUACUAAGCCUAUAUUGUUUAAAUUGACAAAUUGAAUUAAUAUGAUAAAAAAAAAUUGAAUUGUUUUUUUUUAAUAUAUGAUUAGGGGCAACUCCAAAAUCAGUGCUGGAGCUAAUGGAUGUGAAGGAUCUCACUCUAGCUCAUGUUAAGAGCCAUUUACAGGUAAUUUAAUUGAAAACCCCAUAAUUUAGUCUUGAAACUUAAUUGAAACCCAUUUGAGAUCUCUUCUUUUUCCUUGUAAAAAGCUUCUCCUUUUAUGGUUUAUUUAAAAAAAAAAAACCCUUUCUCUCUCUCUCCCUCUCUCCCUCUCUCCCUCUCUCUCUCUCUAUAUAGAAGGAAUCCCUGUGGCACAGUUACCAAAGUUGAGAGAAAUGAAUGAAAAUGAAAAUGAAUGAAUGAAUGAAUGAUUCAGAAGGUGAAGAAAAGUCUGAAUGUUGUUACAAAACAGGACAAUUUUUAUCCUUUUAGAGUGAGAGAGAGAUAAAAAAAAGAAGAAAAGAAGAAGAGAGAUAAAAUUUCACAUCAUUUCUCAAUAAUACAUAACCAUUUCCCCAAAAAAAUUUACUUUCCAAACCCAAAAAAGAAAAAACACAAUAAUAAUAUAUUUUUUUAACCCUCAAAACAAAACCCCCAUUUCCAAAAUUCUUUCACUUUAUAAUUUUACAACUCCAUAAUAACCAAAUCAUUUCAUUCUCAGUUUUAUUUCUAAAUGGGUCCUUCAAAGUUUUGAUCUUUUUCACGUUUUUGUUUUAUUAACAACAAUAAUAACGUUCUUAAAGUCCAUUAUUUUUGUUCUAACUUUCAUGUCAGCUGUAUUAUCAAUUUUAUUUCUUUGAAAAUGUGUGUAUAUAUAUAUUAAUAUGUGAGAAAUUAUUUUUUGUCUUCUUUUUCAGAUGUAUCGUACUGUUAAAAACACCGACAAACAAACAGCUUCUUCAGGUAUAAAAUUCGAAUUCCUUAGAACUCACCCAAUGAUAAUAAUACAGCCUCUUCUUCUCUUCUUUUUGAGUUCAAUAAGAAUAAAGAAGAAGAAAUUGUUCAUGUGUAUGUGUGUAUGUGUGUAUGUGUGUUUCUUUUUAAUAAAAGUUCUUCACCCACUUUAAAUUUAAUGUUAUACCUUGUGUCUUGCAUGGAAAUUAAUUCUCAUUCUCACAUGCAUCCAUUAUAAAUAUAGUACAAUACCCAUCAUCAUCAUCAUCAAACAACAUUAUAGAAUGCCAAACAUUUUUCCUAGGCCUUAUAAUUAAAAACCUAGUAAGCUAUUAGAAGUGUUUCUGGCUUGGAAGACAGUACUAAUUUCUUUGUUUUACUUAACGGUCAAGCCAUCAUAGGAUACUUGUCAUUCAUUUUUAUCGAAUAAAAGUCAAUACAAAAGGUAAAGAAAAAUCACACAUUAGAAAUAAUUACCUCGAGUUUUGAAUUCGUCUAGCCUUUGGUCACAUUUUCAUAAAACAUUUAAAAGAGUUUGUCGUAAACAGAAAAAACAAAGUAAAACAAUUGUAAGAACGAAAGAUUAAACCAUUAACUUCAAUGGCGAAAGAGAGUGUGCAAAUGUCAUUACUAAUCUAAACUCAACGAAAGAGUUAUAAAAUGUUCCUAGUUACAUCAAAUGGAUCUUUCUAUGAUGACUUUUUUUUUCAAGACUUGCAUAAAUUCAUUCUUUUACACCAUGUGAAAUGUGCAUGAAUUGAAUGACGUCUACCCUAUUAACUUUGAGGUUAAUAAUAAUACAAAUAUUAUUUCGAUUAAACUAUAUUCAAUUUGAGUUGUCUAGAGUAUCAACUUUAAUGUUAUUUAUUUAUUUAAAGAAACAAAUUAAGUGAAUUUAUGUGAAUGUAAUGUAAUAUGAUCUCAGAAGGGUCUGGGGAAGAAGAUUUCUUGCCUGCUACACCAACCCCACAUCAUGAAGCUAACUGUUUGCUCAAUCAUAGAAGAAAUUUUACUAAUAAUCCAUCAUCUUUGGAUCAUCCUCAUCCUCAUCUUACUAAUGGAAUUUCAACUCCUUCCAUUAAUAACCAAAGUAACUCUUCAAGGUAAUUUCUUUUUCUUCUCUCUCUCCAUUAAUUUCUUGGUCUCUUAUGUCUCUUCCUUUGGUACUAUAUGUUUCUUUUUUUUGGUAAAGAAAAUAUCAAAUUUUGUAUAUAUAUAUAUAUAAAUCUUUUUGAAGAAGAGUUAAGCUUUGUUGUGUUUGGCAGCUUUACCUUCCCCUUCCUAUUUCCUUUUCUCUUACUACCACCACUUUUGUUUGAAUAAUAUUCACUAAAUAUUGAUAUGUUCAUUAUGUUUGUGAUUUGUAAAGAGUUUUCUUUUAGUCCAUUUGUUUUUCAUUGGUGUAAAAGUUAGUGGGUAGCACGAAAUAGUAGGCUUCUUAGCUUGUUAUUGUAUUGUAUAGGUUUAAAUGCAGCCUUUAAUGAGUCAAACCCAAAUAUAUAGCUUUUAGUGGAUAAUGCACCAACAAUUACCAUUUUUCUAAGUCGAUUAGUUAUUUUUGAUUUCUAUGUAUUCUUAUUAAACCUACGUAGAGUUUGUAACUUUUGCUGUCGAAAUUCAUCUGUCGAAAUUCAUCGUAUACAUGUUUUUGUCGGUUGAACUUAUCUACUGAUCAUUCAGUAAAACCUAUCUUUUAAUGAGACUAGGAUUUUUUAUUUAAAGAAAAGAUAGGAUAAGAAAAGAAAGAAAGAAAAAAAAACUAAGAACCAGCUUUACACAAUUAUGAUAAUGUAAGUGGCACACAAGAACUGCAGUCUUUUGCUAUGCCAUUUUUCUUUUAAAAUUAGUGAUAUAAUCAGCUUUUGUAUAUAAUCUCACAUGCUAGCAUUACCCUAGAAAGACAUGUAUGUGUUAUAUGAAUAUUGGAUUUAAUUUACUCCAUAUAUACUAUAGUUUACAAUAAUAAUUAUUGUAUAUGUUUCUCAAAUCAUUCACUAUAUCAUUUGUUUACUAUAAAGAUCUAAAUAUUUGGCUUUAUUUGUUUUAUGUUCUCUUACUCAUUACUAAUUACCUAAUUAUUUCUACACAGAGAAAAUUAUAACAUAACAAAAUAGAUGAUUAUGAUUAUGAUUGUGUUAAUUUAUUGUUUUAGAAGAGCAUGGGAGCGAAGCUCUCCAGGAAGUGCUAAUGUAUUUGGAUCAGAAAAUCAAUCAGAGGUAAGAUUUUUUUUUCUUUAACUAAUGCAAAAUUUGAUUUUAUCUAAUUUUCCUAUAUAUUCCCUACAUAAAAAUAUAGCAUAGUUUAUUAUACAAUAUUUGGCCUUUUUUAUUUUGUUCUUUAAUAUAAUUGAAUACAUUUGAUUUCUUGAUCUCUAAGGCUUAACCAUUAUUUUUUAUAUAAUUUUUUUACUAACUUUUUGCUUUUGGAAUAUGUAUUUUGAAAAAAAUAUAUGAUUCUUUUAAGCAAAAAUUUCAAAACUAAAAGUGGUUUCUUCUUUUUAUUUUUUACUUACUAUUAUUAAAAUUUGAUCUUUGUUUUUACUUUGUAAAUAAACUAUAGAAUAAUUUCUUAAAAGUCAAUUGUAUUGAAAUAUUAUCUGUAUUUAAUAAAAAAAUCUAUUGAAAAUCGUUUUUUUUUUCUUUCUUUUUUAAAGAAGAUCUGAUUAGAAGGUUGAUAAUAAUAUUUUUAAAAGUAAUUUACUACACUUAAACAUGCACACAUUUCCAAAAAAAAAAACAUAAAAUUAGAAGAUAAAAACCCAUAAUCAAAGCAAACCCUCUCAAUAACAAAAAAUUCUAAAAUUUACUAACAAAACACAUCCUUUUAUUAAAUCUCUGUUACAAUCCUUGAAAGGACUUUGUUAUAUCAUAACAUCACACUCAAAUAUCAUAUAUUAUUACACGUUCAAACGAACUCAACUCGAACUCGAACAAUUCAACCUACCAAACACAUAACCCCAUGUGUAUUUGUUUUUCUUUUGCUUUUUUCAGGAAUGCUAUGAGUUAGGUCAUCCAAAUAGUUUGAUGGGACUGAAUCUAAACUUGAACAGUCCAAGCAAGGAGUUAUCAAUGAAACACAAUUGGCACAACUAAAAAAGAAAACCCCCCAUUUAAUUUCUUUCCAUAUAUAUCACUAUUAGCUAUAUGAAAAUAUCAAUAUAUAUCUAUAUAUAUAUGUAAGUUAAAUAUAUAUAAGAAAAAAUCAUGUUAAUUAAAUAUAAAAGAUAAUAUAUAUAGUAUUAUUAUGUAUAUAUAGUUGUUGAAGAUGCAUAUUAUUUAAUCUAUAUUAUUUAUUUGGUCCUUAAACAUAUUUUUGCCCAAUCUAAAGCUGUAUGUGUUGUGAUUGAUGUUUAGUCACUGCAUUAAGGUGUUUGCAAAAGGAAAAAGGAGAAGAAUAUCAUUUUAUUUUUGGUAGUGGAUUAUGUGGAAUAUUGAGGAAUUGGAUUCUCUUUAUGUGUAAUUUAGACAAAACUUUUUGUUUGUUCUUGCUGAUUUAUUUUUUAAAUUUUAAUUUAAUUAAUGACUCAAAGCUAAUGUUUUUCCUUUUUAUUAAGUAUUAACUUGUUUGUGUUUUGAUAUUAAAUUAUAUUGAAGUUUUUCAUAUUGGAUUCUGAUUUAUAGAUAAAGAUUUAUUUUUGAGAGAUGGUCGGGUAUAAAUUUAACUUUAUUUAGACCCCUUUUUGAAUUAAAAGAAGGUGAAAUUACUUUUGUAUGAAGCCUUUUGUUUUUAUUAAAGUAAAGUAAUUUGAAGCAAUUAGGUUUAGGGAAUAGGUCCUAAUUUAAUUGAAUUGUAUUGUUACUGAAGUCAUUACAACUUUAAUUAGUUUCUUAAUCUUCCAUGUUUUACUUUUUUUUUUUUAGAUAAGUUUAUCGAAAGAUAUUCCUAAUAUCUCGUUGUUCUUCAAUGUUCCAAAAACAAGUUUCUCUUUUAUAAUUCUACUAACAUUGUCACUAUUUCGCUCAGCUCGUAAGUGUUUUUGUAACCUUUAUCGAAAUUAUUAAUUGAACUAUUUUAUAGUUUUUUUUUUUUUUUGUAUCUUUUUAUUGUCAAUCUAGUUAAAAUAUCGGAAUGUACGUGAGAAAAAAGUCAAAUAAACGAAACAAAACUGAUUCCUUUUCAUUUAAAAUUGUAUUUUAUAAUUUACCGGUCAUUAAUAUUUAAUAUUUUUUAGUCUUGGAAGGGGAGAAAAACAAUAAUAUAGCAAUAUUAAAUUAACUAAUUUCCAAGCAUUAUAAUUAACAAAUAAUUUUGAAUAUAAUACAACAUAAAUUUCUUUAUUGAAAAUAAGUGAAAGAAAUGGUAAAAGUAUUCCAUACACACUCUCAUACCUAUUUUUCUUUAAAGUACAAUAAAGAUAGAAAAAAUCGAAUCACAUCCGUUUUGAUCUCUAACACAUCGGCACGUGUUAGUGAAUAUUAUUGAAAAUGAUUAUUUUAAUAAAAAAGAAACAUAAAUAAACGUUGGAAUCAAGUAAAUAUCAACAAUAAGUUCGUCGUUGUCACUCAUUUUCUUCUAUGACUUAUCAAAAUCAAUUAAAUCGUAUAAGAAUUUUUCCAUUUAUACGAACGAUAUGUAUCAUAUUCUCUUGUAUGACUACAAAAGAUUGGAAUGAAAGCGAUGAAAACUAGUUAGUCACGUGGUUGAGUAGCUUAAAUCCAAUAUAGAUGUGUUGUUUCUUUUCACUAUCUAUCCAUUUUUACAAAUUGCUUUUCAACCAAAUCUACUUUUUAUGAGGAACUAUUCUAAUGUGAAACCAUGACUUUUUAAUUCAUCAUUUUUCUUUUUUUGGUUCUCACUUCUUUAUUAAUUUGUAAAUUCCAUAUCUUUGAUUGGAUUUUCCACUCUCAAAAAAGGGUUCUUCAACCAUUUUUCAACAUUCACAACAUAAAGUAGCCAAGAAAUUUAUACAUUUCGCAUCAACGCAUCAAUAUAUAUAUAUAUCGUUUUUUAAAAUUUCAACUUUGAAAAAUAUUAUUCUUUGUCUCGUUAUAUAAGUAUAAUAACCCAAACAUGAUAUGAAUUCGACAAAUAAAGAAUAGUAAAAAGAUCAUUUGCACAUGAAAUUAAAGAAUUGACACACAAAUUUACUUUACGUUAAAAAAUAAUAUGUUAGUUUUGUUAACGAGCACAUAAAGAAUUGUUUGUUAUUAAAGAGAAUAAUCCAUAUUAUAAAUUAGAAAUACCUAUAAUAACCACUUCUUGCUACAAUAAACACUAUCUCAAGACUCUCGGUUCGCUAUUGUAUUUUGUUACAAUUUUUACUAUUUGACAUAUUCAUCAUUUCUUCAUUCUUUGCAACAACGUUUACUAUUUUCUUAUCAAAUUAAAACAAUUUACACACUAAACACACAUUUUAUACUAUUAUAGCUCAAACCAAAAUAAUCUACAUUUCAAACAUAAAUUAUACUAAUCAAACUAUAAUAAUACACUCCUCGCUACCAUAAACAAUAUCACAUUUAUCUAAAUUUCAUAGGUCAAAGAGAAAUACAACCUAAGUUUUAGGAGGAGAUGAUGCCCAAUCAACGAGUCAUUUUAUUUAGUUUAUCUGAAGGGUUGUAGAUCAAAUCCAAGUUGAUUAACUACUUGAUUAAAUGGGUAAUAGGAAGUGGACAUUGUUGUUGAGAAUUUGGAUGGAAAAUGAACUAGGUUUUCUUUAAGAACAAAAAAAAAAAAAAGGAAAAUUGUUGUGAUGUUUAUGUUAGAUUAGAAUUAGAUAUGUGCAUAUGCAUUUAUUUUUGUUUGAAUGUUGAAAGAGGGAUUUUUCUUUGAAAGAAAGAAAAAGGGGAAUUAAAUAAGUGGGGGCAAUAAAAGAGAAAAAAACCUGCACCAUGCCAAUGCUGAGAACAACUUCAUUUAUUUUUCUGACAUCCCUCUUUAUUAACUGUUCGAAUAAUACCCUUAUUUACUCAUUUGCCCCUUCCCUUUUUCCUUUAUUUCAACCUACUCCAACCUCAUUUUUAUUCCUAAAAUUAAUAAAUCUUUUUUUUUUCUUAUAUGGGUUUUGCACAAUUAUUUUCUAAAAAAAAUAGUUUAAACAAAAAUGAGUUUUUGAAAAAAGAUUUUUACUUGAACCAAUCCAAACAAAUCCUUACUUUCGUAUGUGCUAUUUUGUUCAUUAAAUGUAAUACUGUUACAUACAUGUAAGCUAGUUUUUCAAGAUAGUUAUAAUGGAUAGCAAUUUUCCGAAUAAUCAUUAGAAAUGUAGCAACAUUUUUAAAAAAUUGUAAAAGUAGUUAAGUCUAUUUAUGAUAGAUUUCCAUCACGGAUGGACUUAGACCAAUAUUUAUUACAUGAAUCUCAUAUCAUUGAUAGAUUUUGCUAUAGGAUAAUUGUCAAAAACAACAAAUCUGAUAAAAUACUUGUAACAUAUAACAAAAUUUUCAUAUUAUAUCAAUAAUAGAGACAUCAAUAUGCUUUUAUCAGUAAUAUUGAUAGACAAUUAUAAAAGUGUGCAGUAUAUAUUUUAAUUUAUUUUAAGAUUCUUUAACAAUUUUACUAUAUAUUUAAUUAUUUAAAAUCUGAUGGUAUAGUACUGAAAUGAUUUUGUAGUUCGGAUUGGGCAAAUGGAUAAUAGUUGGGCUUUAUGUUUUGGGCCAGGCCCAUCACUCUCAAUGGAACGAAGACUCCCACCGAAAUCUAAUCACUUCGAUUUGAUAUAUUUGCCACGCCUUUCAAUAAACGUUUUUGAUAUGUCCACGUCUCAACACAAUCCCCCAUUCCCCACCCUCCCUCUUAUCUAAACCGAUUAGGAAAAAAGAAAUACCCAAAAAAUAAGAAUUCCGAAACGUGUCGCAAAGACAACACAUACCCCACAAGUAAACCUACACGUGGCACAUGAUUUACCGAAUUUUCAGGAAGCCUACCGAACAAAUCCUGACCAGAAACCGCCUCUCAACGCCGCAUAACUAACACGUGUCGUUCUUUAGAAAACGACAUGUGGCCCAGAAAGUCUCGUCGUUCUCAAUUUUUUAAUUUAUACUAUGGUAACCCUUCUGGAACUUUCCCGCUUUCUUCAAGUUUCUUCUUCUUCCUUCCACCAUUUUCGUUGUGUAAGGGCUAAAGAACGGAGAAAAUAUUUGGAGCAGUAAUCUUUGUUGUGUUGUUGUCAAUUACAAAAUUCAGGAUUUCGAAGAAAUUCUUUCUACCUUGUUUUUAGAUUUUGUUUCUAAAAUUGGGGGAAGAGCUAUAAUUAGGGACAUUCCUCAAAUUGUUCGAUUUUUUAGGAAAAUUUUGGUUUCGGUUUUUUGGUCGUCGUCAUCGUCGUUGUCUGUUCUGUUUCUCAAUCUCUCAUUUUUCUCUGUUUAAGAUUGUGAAUGAGACGAAGAGCAGAAUUAUUGGGACGAGAAAAUAUUUUUUCUUGAGGGGAGAGAGAGAGAGGUAGAGACGUGAGGGUUUUCUGAAUAUUGAAUCGGACUAGUUCCUAUGGAGCCAAUUGUGAAAGGGAAUCCCACGGUGUUAUCGUCCUCAUCCUCGUCGUCGCUAAUUCUAACCUCCGGUGCCAGCGGUCGCAUAAACGCAUUGCUGUCGAUGCGAGCAUUGAAGAGUUUAAUCAUGUUGGUCAAUGCCUUCGUUUUGUUGCUACUAUUCCCUUUCCGUGGCCCGAAGCGUGGGCAAUCGGUGGCGGAUAAGCCAAGAGAUGAUAAGUCAGAAAGGAAAUGCCCGACGGUGCGGGUUCCGGCGACAAUCGUCUCUUGGAAGAGUAGUAGUAGUAAUAACAGCAAUAGUAAUAGUACCAACUCCUUGUCGCCGACGGUGGCAGUGGCGGUGGAUCAGGAGGUGGCGGUGAGACGAGCUCUGGCAAUAAGGAGGGUGGUUGAGGAUAAGGAUAAAAGUGAGGAUUCAAUAAGAGAGUUUCUUCUCUUUCAAUCCCCAAGAGGAAAUACGAUCUUUACUCAAUCGUGGACGCCUGUGUCCCUUAAGAUAAGGUUAGGGAUUAAAUAAUUUCUCUGUUAAGGAUAAAGACAUAUUAAUCAAUUUGUAGUUUUUGAAUAGUAAUAUUGACCUGUUAGAGUAUAAUGUGUUCUUUUCUAGGGGACUGGUGGUUCUCUUGCAUGGACUAAAUGAACACAGGUAUGUGCUUUGUAAAUUCUAAAUAUUUAUGGUUUUGUUUGGUCCUUUAAUUGCAUGGUAAUUAAAGUGAAUUAAAUUCUCUUUAAUUUGCUGUCACAGUGGUAGAUACAGUGAUUUUGCCAAGCAAUUAAAUGCAAAUGGCUAUAAGGUUUUUGGCAUGGAUUGGAUUGGUAAGUGUGCUGACUUUAUUAUUGUUAUGAUCAUUAUUUUUUACCUUUCUACUGGCGCAACUCGAUUGGCAUAUACUUGUACUAAUCUUAAUUCAAUCCGAAUUUUCAUUAAUUUACUAUCAGAAACUUAGAAGGGGUUAUUUUCUUCGGUACUACUGUUGAUGACCGAAGUCAAUUUUAGUAAUUUAUAUUAAGUUUAGGGGGUAUAUAAGAGGAGGAGGAUGACAAGGAGCAUUAGGGACGACACUGACGAACAUGUUCCAUUGGACCUGACCAGUGCCGUCUCGCAUUCUCCCUCAUUUACAAGUAUUUUUUGUACUAAGAGCUAUACAAUGUUGGAAAAGACAAACUCUUUAACGAGUGGCAAGAGCCGUUCUUAGCAAGUUGCUUUUGUGGAAUGUCGUAGGGUCUUUGAGUGAGAGGAACGCUAGAGUUUUUAGAGAGAUAGAACAUUCUACUAGUGAUCUUUGAUCCUUUGUUAGACAUAAUACUUCGUUAGAGGUGUAGUGCAAAGUUUUUUUGCAAUUAUCCCUUAUUCUACUAGAUUGGAGACUUGUUUUUUAGUUGGUCUAGUCUCUUUGUGACCAUUUCUUGUUGUUCGUCUUUGUAUUUUCUUUUCCGUUUAAUGGAAGACUUAACUCAUAAUUUAAUGAAAAAAAAGGUUUCAUGUCGGAGAGGCUGGUAUUUAUGAUACAACCGUAAAUCCUUCAAAAUAUAGACAUCUGGCUGUUUUCUUUUAUAAUUUACUGUUUCCUUAGUCUAGAGAUUUCAAUUCUUCAACAAUGCAUCUAUAUUUGGAUGUUGCAGGACAUAAAGGCAUUUGGGAUGCCGGUGCCAUAGAGUAACAUGUGAAGCUUCCCUUUUAUAGAGUAAGAUUGUUAUCUGAGGCCGUGUGAUAAUAUGUGUAAUUUUACUAGAAAGGAGGAGGGUUAACCUUUGGAAGAUCGGCCGAGGCCCUAUGCUUUUAUACACGAAAUCAAGUAAUGCACCUUGACAAACUUUCACUCAAGAAACAAAGCAUCUUGACGUGAACUAAAACACCUAGAAGCCUUUCUCUUUAACUGUUUCAUGGCUUCUAGUGCUAAUGCCUUGCUUACAUUGCUAUUGAAAGCGUCUAACGUUGGGUCUUGGGGAUCUUAAAUCAGCUCUUGUCCAUUACAUUGUCAAAUCUUCUGCAGUUACGUGUGACAUUGAUCUUAAAUUCUUUGCUCUUUUACAGGUCAUGGUGGGAGUGACGGAUUGCAUGCUUAUGUUCAUUCUCUUGAUGAUGCUGUUUUUGAUUUGGUAUGUUCUGAUUUCCAUCAUCUGCUAUUUAUUUGUGUGCUUUUUCCAAGUUCCGUGAUGAUAGUUUCUAUUGGAAAAUAUUGCAGAAAUCAUAUCUUCAGAAGGUUUUGGCUGAUAACCCGGGCUUGCCUUGUUUCUUGUUUGGACAUUCCACAGGAGGAGCCAUGGUUCUCAAGGUAUGACCUUCCUCUAAAUGAUAACGUGCUUACAAUUUCCGUACAUUCUUCUGUUUCUAAAUUGGUCAGUUUACUGUUUAGGCGGUGCUCGACCCUAGUAUUGGAUCUUGCAUAUCAGGAGUGGUUCUUACAUCACCAGCAGUUGGAGUUCAACCAUCUCACUCCAUCUAUGCAGUGAGUAAAACCCUUCCUUUAAAACCUGUUCUCCUUGGACAGAACCAAUUUUAUUAUCCACUCAAGUGAUUGCUAGAAAGAGUUUCCUUUCGGGAGCUCUUGUUACUAUUGGUUUUGAGGUAAAAAAUUGGGUAGAAGGAAAAUGAAUCCAAGAUGGAGCUUUAAGUAAUGGAACUUCUGUUUGUUUGUUUGAUUGGCAUUGUUGGGAUUGCUAUCUUUAACGAAAUGCUAUCUGGUUGCAGGUCCUUGCUCCCAUAGUUUCAUUAUUGUUGCCAACACUCCAAGUUGGUUCUGCAAACAAGACAACCCUUCCAGUGACUCGAGACCCGGAUGCAUUGAUAGCCAAAUAUUCAGAUCCUCUAGUCUACACAGGAGCCAUCCGCGUAAGAACCGGUUACGAAAUUCUCAAGAUCUCUUCAUACCUGCAGCAGAAUUUGAGCAAAAUAAGUGUUCCAUUCCUUGUUCUACACGGCACUGCAGACGAAGUAACUGAUCCAACAGCCUCCCAAAAACUUUACAAAGAAGCAUCCUCAACCGACAAAUCCAUCAAAUUGCUUGAAGGUUUCCUACAUGAUCUCCUAUUUGAACCAGAAAGACAGAGUAUUAUGAAAGACAUAAUUGACUGGAUGAACAAUAGAUUGUAAAAUGGAAAAGUCUAUAUUAUUGGAAUAGAGAGAGAUGGGAAGAACCAAAAGAAUUGUGUUGGUAGAUGAUGAUGAUGGCUGCGCCAGCAUACUGGUUGUUUGAUGAUGUUUAUAGUCUACAAAAGUUCAUCAACUUGGUGAAUUUUGUGUUUAUAAGGGGAACUUUUCUGGGCUAUUUUUUCCAGUUUGGCUCCUUCAUUGUUUUAUCAGUAGGAGGAAGGUUCGCAUUCGAAUUUUGUUAUUAUCAAAUGUUCAGUCAUAACUUUUUUUCCUUUUUGUAUCAAACCGUAAAUUAUCAUCUAAGUGAACAAAAUAGCUUUCUUUUCCCUUUUAAACCGAGUUCGAAACCGUAAAUCAAAACCGUAGUCAUCGAUUGUAGUUUAUGUUCUCUUUUUCUGCUAAUUUGUUUUUUCUCAAUCAACAGAAUUUGUUAAAAUAAACACCUAUUCAUUCCUCCGUCCCUUUUUGUUACAAUUUCAGUAGUAGAUCUUCUAGCCACAGAUUUUUCUUGCACACUACAAAAUUAAGGGUCUAUGAAACGAUUUCAUUUUUUAAAACGUUUUUAAGCGAUGGAUUACAUUGUGUUUCUGUAACAAUCUUCUGGUUAAUGAUCAAUAUGCAGUUAUCCUGUUUGUUUCUUUAGUUAUACUUCUAUGAGUUACCUCUAUAUACUUAAUGCCUUAUAAUUGGCUGCUAAGGACCAUGCGCAUUACUGUUGAGGAGGCAUACGGUCAUUUUUACACUGCCAGAGUGUAAGGCUUGUGAUGAACGAAAGAUUUAAACAUCAAAAGGAUAAUAUAAUAAAAAAAGGAAUUUAAGUGGGAAGUCCUUGCAAAGUAGAAUAUUUCGCAUGCUAGUUACGAGAAGAUCUAUUCUUUUCAAGAAGCUAGGUGAAAGGAGACGAGACGAACAUAGUUUACAAGGCUGCACUAGAAGCAAGUAUGAAAGAUCAAGAAAAAUAAGUUUAAUGACUUGACUGAAUCACGAAUAGACUGAUUUUCUCUCAAUCGUUUUGACGUGUAGUACCAAGUCCUAAACAAUUGCUACCAGUGUAUAAGUGAUUAAAUACGACAUUAUGAAUCUUUCUUUCCUGCUGUGUGUUCUUCCGUUUCUUUUUCUUCAUGAAAUUUCGGCUCUUAAUAAAUGAAUAAAAAGACUUCAAAGAGUAUGGUUUCCUCUGAUGAUCUUUCAGUUAUUCCCCAGAGUUAAACAUGAAAAGCGAAUCUUUUCCUUAAUAGAGAAGAGAAACAUUUAACAAAAGGCCAAACAAAGAGAGAGGAUAAAAGGGUUCUGAGAAAGAACCAAAGGAAUUUACAAGAAAGCCUUUCCCCCACCAUAUCAACUUUAUAUAAAAAAUAAAGAAGAGUAACAACACAAGCUAAGGUUCCUUCUUUCAGAAGCUGAUGAGAUGAAAUACAAUCUCCGUACACUCUUUCAUAUAUCAAUAUAUGUAUGUGUAACAGUAUAGUAAUUACUGCAUAUCUAUCUUCAAAUUCCUGGUUACAAAAAUAGGAAAAAGAUUGCAAUUUAAAGAUACAAUCUUUGCUCAAAGUUAGCUUAAAAAGUACAAACCAAAGUUUUGAAAUCCGUGUUUAAUACACUUAGAACAACGUAGAGAAUCAUACUGUAUAAAUUCUCUAGAGUUCUAAAUAUGCAGUAUGAUAUUUUCUCUUUAAUAAUAAAACUACUUUCACCGUCCGGCAUAGAAUAUCUAUUUUUAAAUAAAAAUGAUUCUUUUGAAAAGAAAAUGAAGGUUGCAUUAUGAAGACAGUUAAUAUUUGAUACACAGUGAGUUUACUUAAUUGUAGGAAGAAGAGCAUAAAGUGGAGGUCCUAAAACAAAUGUGUAUAUGAUUUACAAGCUGGAAAAAGGCAGUAAUCUAAGGUAAUGAUCUUUAAUUAUUUUUGGCAUUGCUUAAUGAUGUGAAUAAGUGUUUGUUUACAUUGUGCUGUCUUUUCUUUUCUUUUAGAUAAUUGUGGAAAUGUUGUUAUUUUAUUUUCAAAGGUAUCAUCAUUCAGAAAACAGAGUUAACUCUCUCAUAUUGCUUUUUGUCUAAGUUUCCAGUUUCCUUCUUGGAUUCCUCCCUUCUCAUCCUAUUGCUCCUUGAUUUUGGGGUUUUUUAGAAUCUCUUCUUUUGUUUUUUGUUUCUUUAAAAGAAUUCUUGCAAGUAGCUAGGAUUGGAAUAAAGUCACCCUCUACUGUAAAAUAAACCAAAAAGUUCUACGUUCUGAAAAAUAAAGUCCACUUUUCUUUUAAGCUGGUGUCAUGCUUACACUUUCCACUGCGGGUCUUUUCUUUCUUUCUUUCUUUUCCCUCCCUCUAAAAUCACACCCAUCAAAAAGGACGUUCCUACUUUAAAAUUGAUUAUUAUAGUCUAUGAGUUACGGUAACGUAUGUGAGAUAGGGAGUUAGAACUUAUUCUACCGACUCCGACUAUAGCCUUCGGUUACUGAAACUUUUAAAAUUUUAUAUCGAGUUUUUGAGGUCUAGCUUGAAAAUUAUUUUGUUUUUGUUUUUGAUCUAUAUCAAUUUCUCCUUUAUUUCUCGCAAUGGUUUAAAAAACGGUUGAAAUCUUAGCCAAAUGAAAAAAGAAUAAUUUAGAUGUUGAAAAUAUUGGUAAUAUAUAUACCUAUGACAAAGCAAUAAAUUUAAUCAUAAGAAAAAUAUACAUUUAUAGGGUUAAUUUUAAAAGGGACGUUUGCAAAAACAACAAAAAAAAAUUAUGUUAAUAAAGCUCAUGUCGCUACAUUUUCUAAAUUGCAACAAUAACAAAUUUAAAAUGUGAUAGCUUCGAAUAACCGUGUGAUAGUCGUCUGAUAUCACUAAUUAUUUCAAAAAAAUUAGAAAAAAAUAGUCCAUAGCACAUUUUUUUUUGUUGUAUAUGACAAAUAUGACAAGUAAUUAGAUAUAUUAUAUGGUUAUUAGAGGGUUAUUCAUUUUUAAAUUUGUUACUUUUGCAAUUUAGAAAAUGUAGUGACAUGAAUCGAUUAUCAUAAAUUUUCUUUUGCUAUUUUUUCAAAUAUCCAAAGAUUAUCGAGUGGAGUCUUACUUUCAAAUUAAUGUUAAAAAAUCUAAUAAACAUAAAAUUAAAAAUUUGAAAAAAAAUAUUAAUAAAAAAUUAAAAGUUUAGAAAUGUAUUAUUAAUUAAGAAAGUUGAUAAAGUUCAAAGUCUAAGCCUAAGUGAAUUUGAAAAAUGAGUGUUUUUCUUUCUUUGAAAAUGAAUGUUUUUGAAAGUUGAAAAUAAUGGGACUGCCAAAAGGCUUUGAUUACACAUUAUAAAAACUACUAAUGAAGUCAUUAAAAGGACCACACCAUAGUACAAUUCUUAAUUAAGAUUUGGAAUCUGUGGAUUAUAUGCUUCUUUUAAUUAUUAUUUUAUCACAAUAAAAUAUAUAUAUUUCAAGAUGUUUUCCUUUUCUUAAUUUCUUAAAUCAGAUUUUUGGAUAUAUAUGAUUUUGUCUUUUGACUCUUUCAUGACAAAUGACUUGACUUAUUCUCUUCUUUUUUUCAGAAAUUUAAAUUAAUGAUACAAGAAACUUCUUCUAUACAUUGGAACAAUUAAUUCUUAUCACGUCGAGCUAAAAAUAUGAUAAACUCGCUAUAGUCUUUGAUUUAUUUCAAAACAUCUAGAAAAUAAAAAAUUUGUGACAUUUUUCACACACAAAAUGCAAUAUAAAAGCUUUACAAUUUGAUUCAUUAAUUUAAAUUUUGUAACUUAGCCCUUAAGUUGUUUUUCUUAGAUAUCUUUAUCAAUAUCAUAUCUAAUUACAAACGACGUACUUUGACUAACCAUUGUAUUGGUAUUUUGGUUUGAAUAAGAAAGAAGAAAUGUGUUAUUUUUUUAACUUAACUAAAUGCAAUUCAUGUUCAAACAACUAUCAUUCAUAACAUGGGAGUGUAUAGCUUUUUCUUCCUUUACUUUAUAUAUAUAUAGUUUAAAUAAUAUUUGCAAUGAUAGGGAAUCAACAUUUAAUUAAUAAGUUUCUUGAAAACAUGCUAGAUUCUAAAUGCUAUCUAAACUCAAAUUGGACAAAACCGUUAUUCAAAACCACAAAAAUCAAGCUCAAAGUCCAAAAUGGGUCCUUGACAAAUCGACCCACAAGCAAAAAUGUUGGUGUGACUCGAUAGGCCCACACCGGCCAAAUGUCGACCACACUAAAGUCGAUGUGGACCUUUCGGCCCAAGGGCGUGCAAUUUGCACAACUACAAGUGAAAGAAAAGGAGAUUAAGGAGACCCUGGACCUAGAAUUUGAAGAUUCAAUAUUAGAGAAAUUUCACAACAAUAUUUAUACAAAUGAUACCUAUAAGUUACUCUUGCUUCUUCCUAAAAAAAACCCACUAAAAUAUUCAAAGUAAGAGAUAGAAUUACAAAUGCAUGUGAAAUCUAAACUCUUGAAACCCAUAUCACAAGAAAUUUCAUGAUACAUACUCAUCAACUCGUUAAAUCAAAUAAAGAGUGAUCUUCACAUUAAUGUAUUUAUAUAAUAUUAUCUAAUAUAUAUAUAUAUGUAGAUAGAUAGAUGAAGUUGAUUUGACAGGAUAGAAGUGAAAAGGAAAUGAAGAAGGAUGGGGGGUUGAUCUAGAUGGGGGGUGUGUGUGUGUGUGUUUGUUCAAAGGAAAAGACUGUAUGUUUGUUUAUUGAGAGUGACAAGUGAGUCUAUGAUUAACUCUCUUUGGCCCCAUCUUCUUCCCCACAGUGGCACUGAAAAACAUGGCACUUUUUCCAUUUGUAUUUAUUUGUAAAGUAAAAGUAACCAACCCCUCCCCCCUUCUUCAAAAACAAAAACCAUAAGGACAAUCUCUUUCUUUUCUUUUCUUUUCUUUUCUUUCUUUCUGAAAUUGUUUUUAAUUCUGCUCUCUCUGCCCUAUUCUUUAAUGCUGUACUGAAGACACAUCAUUUCUUGACAUGACUUCCCCAUCCAAAAUAUAAUUUUAUCCCAUAUAAAAAACUUUUUAUUUCCCAAAAAUAAAAAAAAGUUUCUUCUAUAAGAAUGAAUGUCUUCUUCUUUCUUCUUUUUCUUUCAUUCUGACUCUUAUCUUUGUAAAAUAUGCCAUGAGUAUAUAUUUAUAUAUAUAUAUAUGAAAGUAUGACCUAAAUUGAUUUUUCAACGUCAAUGGCAAAAAAACCAACUAGAUUGUUUACUGUGUGUUGAAAGAGAAUAAAUAACCCAACUUUUUUUUUUCUUUUUCACCCCUCAUUUUAGAAUUUCACAUUUGAUAGUUUUUACUUUUUUUUUUCUUUUUAAAGAAAGCUAUUAUGGCUUAUUAUCUCUCUCAUAAAUGCUAUCAGCUUUUCUUUUCUCUCUUCUUUUUUUACCAGACAUUAUUGAAAAAUAAAACUACUCCUCUUUUUCUUUCUUUUUGUUAAAUGGCAAAUUUUGAUCAUAUGGUUUUAUGAUUAACAUUAAUGCAGGAAUUGUUUAUGAGAUGAUAGAUUUGAGAGAAUACUACAAAAUCUUCAACUUUUUUUUUGUUUGUUUGAUUAUUUUUCUCUAAGAAGAGAUGAGUACUUCUUCAAACAAUGCAUAAUAAAAUAUGAGGUACUUAAGGAAGUGAAGAAGAUGUUUGUAUAGGAAUUGUAAAAUUUAUGAUGUCAUUAAAAGGAUCGAGGACGACAACGACAACGACGAUGACAAGGAGGGAAUGAAUUAAUAUUCAAAUUUUAGGGAAGGGAUGAAAAUGUUGCCUACAAACUUGGCAAGUGAUUUGGAGGAUAGUAGAAUUGAUUUUCUUGAUGGCAUGUUCUUUCAAAACAAGUGCUCUUUGUAACUCAGCUUGUGCUUGUUGUCUCAUUCUCUUGGCAUUCACUAACUCUUUUUCAGCCAUUUCAAUUUGCUUCUUAGCUUCAUUUCUUGCUUCUUCAGCCAUUGCUUUCUCUUCCAUGGCCAUUCUCAUUUGCUCUUUAGCUUCUUCUUUCAGCUUCAAAAAACCUAAUUUCUCAUCAUCGUCGUCGUCAUUAUGAUGAUCACGAUCAUUACUGUUAUUAUUAUUAUCAUGAUGAUGAUCAUGUAAUUUCUCACCAUAAUUGCAAGAACCAAUGGAAAGUUGCAAAUGGGUUGAGUAAUUUUCAUGUCUUUUCGGAGAAACUGAAACGUGAAUUGAAGUUGUUGAAUUGGUGGAAAGUUGUAGGUCUAGAUUUUGAUGAUUAUGGCCAAUAAUUCUUUGAGGAAUUAUUGUUGUUUUUUUCGAAUAUUUGUCAGCUCCAUGGUUAUGAUGAUGAUGAUGAGUUGAAGUAAAUUUUGGGUUUUGGUUUUGGUUUUGGUUUAAGAAGCUGAAAUUUGUAUCUGAAGAAGGACUUGGAGUUGGACUUGAAGCUGUUCUUGAUAAACAUGGAAUUUUUUGUUCUGAUUGUUGCUGUUGAUGAUGAUGACCCAGUUUGCAAUUAUCUUGAUGUUCUAUGAAACUCUCCACCCUAUAAAUACAAUCCAAAAUAAUAAUAAUUAAACGACACAAAUUUGUAAUAUUAUUUCUAGGUUUAGCAAUAACCCCAUGUUAUUAGUUUUCUCUUCAAAUAUUGAUAGAUUUACUGAAAUGCUGCAAACCCAUUUUAAUCCAAGAAACUUAAAGCAACCCCAUCGUUAAAAGAUUAUUCUUUUACAAACAAAAAGAAAAGAAAAUACAUCUUUUUUAUGUGGUGAAUUACUUAGGAAUAUGAACAGUGUCACAUUUAAAUGAAAAGAUAAAAGAAAAUCAAUGAUAUAUACCAAGUACAUAAUUUAAUAUCAUUAUUUACUAUGGGACCAAUAAAAAAAAUAAGACAAGUAAAAAUACCAAAAAUAUUCGUUUUCCUGACAAAAAUUUAAACUGAUUCUAGUUGAAAUAUGUAUAUCUAUAUAUAUAUAUCUAAUUUUUUUAAAAAAAUAAACCUAACUCUACAUGAACUGAUCAUUGGAAAAUGUGCCAAAUUGUAACACAAAAAGCUGAUUAUAUAAACUUGUGGUUGUUUACGAUGAUGAAUGUUUGUAUAUUUCAGUCAGAAACAUUCAGCAGCCAUUAAUAGUAAACAAAAAUGUAAAAAGGUAUAGUAGCCGCCAGAAAAGAAAUUAACCUAUAGAUUAUGUAUAUCAAACCAAAAAAAUUAAUUAAUUAAACACAAAUUCUAAUAUUAUUCUAGGGCUUUAUAAUGUUUUGAAUUAUCACUGAAUUCAAAAGCUAGCUUAAACUGUUCCAAUAAUAUAUAUGUACCUGGAGAAAACUCGACCACAAUCACAAGAAUGGCCUCUAGUUCCACAAGUUUUGAGAUGGGCUUUGUAAUCAGAUUGAACAGCAUAUCCUUUGGAACAUUUUUCACAAACCCAUUGCUUAUGGUUACUAUGUUUUCUUCUAAAGUGCUUCUUUAUUCCUACCAAAUCCCCCAAAGCAUGAGUAGGGUUAUGGUGUAAACAGCUGGGUUCGGGGCAAACAAACACCCGUUUCCUCACUACGGUUGUUGUUUCCGUUCUUUUCAACAGCUUCCAUGGUACCUUGUGUCGACGUCGAUGCAUCUGUAGAUUUUGAUCUCUCUGAAACCCUUGAUUGCAGAUCUCACAUACGUAACGAUCUGAUUCCAAUAAGGUUUUUGGAGAGAGAGAAACCACCUCAGCAUCUGGGUCUGUCAAACAUAACUCAAUCGUUAUGACACGCGGAUUGAUUGAAUUGAAUGAUAGAUUGAAUUAUUAUAGCAAUUAGCCCAAGAAUUAAAAAGAAAAGAAAAGAAAAAAGGCAUAUUCUUGAUUUUAUAUUAAUUUGAAUUAUUACAAGAUAUUCAAACGGGAAAGAUCCAAUUCAUCAAUCUAUACCAUUAUGAUAAUUACAAACUAUAUAUGUAUAUAUAUAGUUACAUAUAUAGUUUGAUUGUUUAUAUGAAAAUCUGGAGAGAGAAAACACACCUGGAGUACCCGCGGGUCGUCUUUUUCGUUUGUUAUUGGUUCCAUUGUUUUCAAAGCAAUUAGACAAAGGCUCAAAACAAGGAAGUGAAGGAGAAGAGAGAUCAGCCAGCAUGGGAAAAAGAGAAAAAAAAAGCAGGAAACAACUUAAGGGGUUCAAAAUUUUCAAAUGAAAAGAGAGAAUUAAUUUGAGGACUUGAGAGCAAAAAUCAAUCAAAGAAGAAGAAGAAGUAGAGGAAGAAGAAGAAGGCAAUAUAUUGGGAGAAAGAAGGUGAAGUACUGAAAGAGGGAGGGGGGGUUUGAAGAAAAAUUGGAACUUUUGAGAAGAUAAAUUAGGUGGGUUUUAGAGAGAGAAAAUUUGAAGAAGAGGAGGAAGAGGAGAGAGAGAAUUUGCUUUUUUUUCUUAUUAUUAUUUUUUUCAGCUUUUUGUUUAAAUAAAUUAAUGGGCUUUUAAAAAUUUCAGCUUUUUGGAAUCAGCUUUUUUUGUAUCCUCAGGCUUUAUCCCCAGCUUUCUUUCUCUCUUUACUUCUUCCAACCAUCUUCAGCACAUGUAGUUAUUGAGUUUCCUCAAAUGAAAAAACUUUUCAAAAGGAGAUUAAAUAUAUAAAUAUAUAUAUAUAAAUAUAAAAGUGAGUGAGAGAAUGAGAAUAGAGUUUAAACUCACAAGGAACCAAAGGCUUCAUCUCUAAAAUGGAAAACAAAAGAAUCAAAAAACAUACAAACAAAAGUAUAUAGUUACUAAAAACAUGAAUGAAAUUUAGUUCUACUUUCACUUCCCAUGCAUUAAUCAUUAUAUUAUACAUAGAUAGACUUAUAGGAGUUGUGUGUAAGUGUAAACUGUGUGUGUAUAUAUAUAUAUAAAAUUCUAGGUGUUCGCUCGAUUGUAUCUAUCUUUGUGUUUCCUGUAACCUAUUAUUCUAUAAACAUUUAUCAAGUUGCAAGUAAUUUUGAUUUUUGUCUAAAAAAUGAAAAUUGAAAAAGUUACAUUUCACACCUAAUUAUUGUAAUAUAUUGUUGUUAAUAUAAUAUAUUUAUUAAAUUGAAAUGAGAGUUUUAAGGUGUUUGUUUAGUAAUUAUUUUAAUUUAAAAAAAAAAUUAGGCUUUUUAUCUAUUGAGUUGCUAAAUGGUUCAUUUAUGUUUUUAAAAAUAAAGUCUAAGUUUAGUUAUUUUAGUUUUUAAGAGGUCAAGUUUGAUAAAUAAGUUAAAUAUGUUUUUUUACAUAUAAAAUUGAGAUUUUCGACAUUUUCAAUCACAUUCACAUUUAAAAUUAGGAUUAAAAAACCCUUUUAUUCUUGCAUUUUCGAAAGAAAAAAAAAAGGGAAAAUGAAAAGAAUUCAUGGUUGAAUAAAACAGUGGUAGAAAUAAACAUAAUGACGUUCAACUUUUUCAAACGUGUAAAUACGGAAACAACUUGUUUGAAUAUAUUAUUUAUCUAAGUUGGUUAUUUUUUUCUUUUCCUUUUUGUCAUUUCUAUGAACUAUAUUUUUAAUAUAUAUAAAUUUGUAAAUUAAGAGAAUAUACUUUAAAUCGUAGAAUAUAUAAUGGUUUUUACUUUACAUUGAUUGAAAUUAUCCUUUCAAAACAUGAAUAUUGAUCAGUUUCGUGGACCAAACAAUAGUAUAGUUUAUAUUUUAUUUAAUAUGUAUUAACAUUUAAGAGAUUGGUAGUAAUUGAAACAAAAAUAUUUCAAGAAAUAAAGCAUUUUAAUUAACUUAUUUUCCAUGUAAUUAGUUUUCUUUCAAAAGCUGAAUUUGUGAGGUAAAAUCUAUCUUAGAAUUGGAUAUUAUUGCUCAAGUUAACCCUAAAUUUGUAAUUAUUAAAAGAAUCUCUUACUAACAUAAGAAGCAUAAUAUUUGUGAAAUUGGUUGGCUUGAAAGAAAUAGAAUAACGCUUAGAGGUGUGGACAAAUUCCAUAGUCAUUAUGAAAAUGUAUGUACUAUAACUAUUAAUUGAAUGACAUUUCUUUAGAUUUUGUUGGUUUAUCUCUAUCUUUUGCUUAUAAAUAGUUUUGUAGUUCUAUGUAAAUUAAUGAAAUCUUACAAUAUUUGAGAUUAUGAUGAGGAUGCAAAACAUGUGUCGAUUUAUUUGAGAUUUUUAUUUCUAGCUAUCUACCCUGGUGAUUUAUUAAAAGGAAAGGUCUGUGAGUUUGGCAUAUUUUGGUUAAUAUGGCAUUAAACUUUAUUUUCCACACUUAAUUGAAUUUCUAAAACAUUAAGUUGCUGUUCUUCAACUUGUGGUAUUUACAUUUAAAUUCCUAAACUUUUAAAGCUAUUGAUUUUGAUUCUUGAAGACUUUCAUACAAUUUCAGGUUUGACCCACUUCACAAGAAACUCGUUUCUCUUAUGAUCAUAAAUAUUUGUGUUUGUGUGUGGUACAUUUAUUACGUCAUAUUACUUAUCUAUGAUAAAGGCCAAAUAUGUAAGAAAGUUAGAGAGGCUAAAAUUGAAAAUUCACAACUUUGAGAUGGAAAAUUUAAUUAAGAUAAUCGUUGGGGAAAUCUAAAUUAUAUUUAGAGGUGUUUGAUGUAAGAUACGAGUUAUUAUCAUCCUAGGUCAUUAUAGUUGAUCAAUUAUAAUAGUUUGUGUUUAGGGUGUAAAUUAUUUUAAUUUAAAUCAUAAUAGUUUGUGUCUGUGGUGUAAAUUAUUUUAGUUUAAGAAGAAAAUAGUAAAUAUUAUUGUAGCAAAUAAUAAAAAAAUAUCGAUGAAUGUCAAAUAGUAAUUGAAACUGUAUAGCAAAUAGUUAAUAUCGUAACAAACAAGGAGUUUUGAAAUAAUAUUAUUAUAGCAAAUUGAAAUUUUUUAAAUAGAAUUUACUGUAGCUAAAGUUUUAGAUUUUAUAGUAUUGGAUAAUCCUCGUCUCAAACGGUUUUCUUAGACUUUUCUCGAUGGUUUAUAAAUUAAAAAUAGAUAACAAAUGAUGCCGAGAACAAAAAUUAUAUUCCAACCCUAACAUAUAAUAUAUCUACUUACUGCAAAAUUAAUGAGUCAUAAUUAGUACUUAUGACUAUAAUAAUUGUGAAGGGUACAUUUUCCUAAAAGUAAUUUAUAUAAUAAUAUAAAAAUUAGUUAGUCUAUAUGGAUUGAUAGAAAUUUAAAUUUAGAACCUCCUGAAUUCAAAAACAUACAAAUGCCUGUUGAAUUGAGCUCACGAUUAAAAGGUAAUUUAAUCGUUAAUGUUUAACUUUAACUUAUAAUAUUAUUAGAAUUUAGUCUAUGUGGAUAUGUUAAUAUCUUCUUGAAUAAUUUCCAUGAUAGGAACUAUUUACGAGGUGUGUUCAUCAAAUUAUAUAAAUUAAAAUUUAACUUUUUUUAUUCAAAUUUAUAAUGAUAACCUUUGACCUCCAAAUUUUUGUAGAAGAAAAAAUAAAAAAAAAAAUUAAUUUAUUAUAGGAGGGAAUUAUUGUAAAUGAUAAAACUAUUAAAAAUAUUUACAAAAUAUAACAAAAUUUUACCUUCUAUAAAUGAUAAAUCAAUAGAAAUUGAAAUAUUUUUAUUAGUGUCUAUAAAUACUACAACAAUGAUAGAUUUGUAUAUUUGUGUAUCAAUAAUUGAUUCAUUUUGUUAUAUUUAAAAAUAUUCUUAUAUAUAUUAUGUCAUAUUUAACUCUAAUAACUAAUUUCCACAUGUAAAGAACGUUCAUGUAUAUGUUAAAAGUUUAAAUCUUUAUACACAAUCGGACUUAAAAUCAAAAUCACAAUCAAAACCAAACACACAUGUACAAAAGAUGAAAACAAACACAGAACAACUUUUAGAAGAAGCAGGUUAUCCAAGCAUAGUUUUACUAAUUUUUUUGUUCCAAGAAAGAAAAAAAAAGGGCUAAUAUUAAAAUUUGUGUAGAAAAAGACGAAAAUGCCCUGAGGUAAAGAAGGAGGGUAAAGUAGGGUUUGUUUUUAUCCUUGGUUAGGGAGCAGGCUUUUUGUAAAGGUGAAUCAGGUGGGUGGUGAGGAUGUAAAGUCACCUUCAGGGGUAUGGUGGUCAAUAUCAUCAUAAUUAUGUGUGUAAGAUUCAUAGUUUUCCCUUUUUUCCACAUGCAUACAAAAGUAACAAGUUAAAAAUUAUUAAAUUUCAGCCUCCAACCCCUCUCUGCCUGUGGCUGCCAAAUAUUUGAGAUUUUUCUUCUGAACUAAACUUCAGAGGUCAAAGAUACACACAUAUAUGUAUUUUCAUUCGACUACUUUAUUUCAUAUACAACUUAUAUACUCUUCAAAUCUAUCUAUAUACAUAUGAAAAGAUACGAGUUAACUAGGUCAAAAAAGAUACGAGUUAAUUAGGUCAAGGAUACAUUGAAACAUUUUAACUAGAUUGAUACCAUAUACGUAGUAUAAGUACAUGUAUAUGUAUUAUUUAGAAAUAUAAAUUUGUUCUCUUGAAUUCUAAAGAUUAUAACUUUAUCAUCGAAAUAAAAUUUCAACUAAAUAUUAACUGGUCUUAGAAGGUAGGAGAGAAAACCUAAACUGUUAGUUGCAAAAAUACUUCUUUUUAAUAAUAAAAAUUGACAUUCUUAUAUUCAAAAUCACUCUUAAAAAAAAUACUCUUUUAAACCCUAAUGUCAAUAAUUAAAAAUAUCUUUUUAAAAUGGUUUAAAACAUGAAAAAAAAAAAACUUUCAAUCCCAAAGAUAUCAAAUUAAAGUAGGACUAUAAUAGAAAGAAAUACUUGGUUUUUUUAGUUAUAUAAAUACUUGUUAUAAAUCCCAUAAUAAAAUAAAAUAAAUAAUCAAGUUUAAUUUAAUUUAAUUUGGUGUAAUUAAAACACUAUUUUUUUUUUUUUUGAAAGUGUAAGUUGAAAAAAUUUGGAUGAUGAGAGUCUUCUAUUUUUAAGCAUUAAUUAAGAUUUGAUGUAUAGAUAUGGAGUCAAAUUAUAGAAAAAAAAUAUAUAUAUAUAUAUAUAUAUAUAUAUAUGAGGGGUUUGUGGAUGAAUUGACAAGAGACUCAAAAGGGCUGUGGACUGCAACAUUCCAUGCCAUUCCUUCCUGUCACAAUGCACAUUCAUUGCAUAUUAUUAUACAUAUAUUAUUGCUAUUCAAAUUAAUUGAUUACGUUUUAAAUUGCAUAUUACUACCAAUCUUCUAUGAAACACACAUAUGUAAUAUCAUUUCCAACAUUUUAUGUAAUUUGAAAUGGCAAUUAUCUUCUAUUUUUUUAAAAUAACAUCACUUUAUUUAAUCACGACAACAAUCACACUAAUUAAUUUUCCUUCUUUAUCUUAACAAAAUUUUCAAUUUUUAAGGGUAUUUUUUAAAAACAAAUUUCAAAAUUAAAAAUAUAUAUAUAUGAAAAGCAAACUUUUCAAAGUUUAUAGAUGUAUUUUAGAAGUCUUAGGUAUAAUUUAAAUUUGAAAAACAUGCAUGAAAAAAAAAAAGCUUCUUUAUUAUUCAUGAUUUAAAUUAUGAAAAAUAUCCUUAAAUUUGAUCCAUUAUUUGAAUUCCAAAAGUUAUAAAAUUAUCAUUAAUCUUUGAUACUAAAUGUUCAAAAUUAUUAAUGAAGCUAGAAAUAGACACAAUAAAAUAAUAUUUGGGAAAAAAAAGAUCUAAAACCAUUUUGAAUGAAAAUCAAAAACCUUUACAACUAUAUUGUUUCUAGCUUUCGCUGCAUACAUUUUUUAAUAUUAGUUUACGAUUAGGUGUAAUCUAGACUUCACUUAAUUACUUAUCGUAUUUCUCACUUAUUUACCAUCUAAAAAAUAAUUUUUUAUAUAAAAACUAUCUUCUAAAAGUAAAAAUGUCACAGGACAGCACUUUAUUACAGUACAUGUAUGAAAAGUACACAGAUAAAUGCAUUCAAGAGUUCGAUCAAAUUUUUUCCUCUGUGAAAUACAAAAUACAAUGAUAUUUUGGCAAGGGUUAGGGUUUUUUUUUAGAAAAUGGAAAAAAAAAUAGGGUUUUUCUUCUUUCUGGUAAAUUGUAAAAUGACCUUAUUUGUGGUUAUUUAUUAAAAAGAAAUUAAUUGAACUUGUUCCUUUCAUUUAAAAUUACAGAUUGGUUAAAAUAAUAAGCAAAGCUACCCAUUUAGUAAUCAUUACAUCUCUACUACACGUUUUGGUACUACUUUUGGUAAGAAAAAUGGCCUAAUAUUUAAUGCAAAACUCACGGUCAGUAACUCCCUUAACGGGCAGCUAGGGUUUUUAAUAGAAUAUAACCAAUAAAAAGGUACGGGCAAGGAAUAUAACCAAAUUCGGGCAAUACCUAAGUAAUUUUAAUUUCUCGUCAGAUGGGAGGAGGGGGCGAAAAGUAAUCGGACGGUCUAUAAUGAAUCCAUCUGUCACAUGCUCAACAAUCAUAUUGGAAAUUAGAUUGAAUCCGGUCCGUUGGAUGGAUCAGCAAAAGUACAAAGUCGAGAUUGAAUGAGAGCCGUAAGAUUUUGGAGAAGAGAAACUGGACCCUUCGAUGGAAUAGAGUGCAGGAAAAGAAGUGUGUGGGCGAUGGAGUUGAUCUAAUAAUUUCUGAGAUAAAUGUCAGAUUUUGCAAUUGAAUAAUUGAAUUUAGUCAUGAUGAUAUGAGUUCACCAAAUUUAAAAUAGGGAUGCCGCAUCUAAUUAAAGUAAAUGCCAAAUCUUCAUUUCUUCUUCAAAGAUACGUUCAUUAUUUAAUGCUAUUAACUAUUAUCUGUGUUACGUAUAUAAAUACAAUAAUUAGUAGCAAAUAUCAUCUUGGCCUCGGUUAUUUUAUUUUACUAUUCGUAUAAUCUUUCAAUUUACUCUUUUGAAAGAAAAUUUAUAGUCAGACGGUUAAUACAAAACAAAAAAUCAUCUAAAAAUUUGAAAAAACAAAAUUGAUUGAUUGAUUGAAAAAGAUUAGACGUUGCAUUAGUUUAAAUCAAAGGUUUUUAUAAGUUUCGUCAAUUCAUACGGUUUAUUACGUUUAGAUCAAUAAUAUCACAUGUGAAAGUACUUUUUGUAUUAUAUAUCAAUCGAACCCAACUUUAAUUAACGAGUCAAUUUCUUUAAAAGUCAUGUCAAUACGUCAAUUCUAAUAUAGUUUAUUUUGUAUUUGACUUUUCGUUUGUAUUAAAAUAAAGUGAUGGUUUUUAUUAUCGUUAGUACUUGUAUUCGUGUUAAUGUAACAUUCAAUGUUUAAUUUCUUGUUUUUUUUGUCAACUGCUUAAUGAGUUUUGAGAAAAUUUAAGCUAUUUCAUAUUAUAUAAGAAUAUAUAUCAUUUUGUUACGUUGGAAUGUCUUAAUUAAAUAUGUAAUACGGCGCUUCAAACAACCAAAUAUUAAGUUUUUAAAAAAAUAUAUACUAUAUAAACUUCCUAAAUUUAUUCUUGAUCGUGCGGUCUGACUAAUUUGUAAUAUGAAAUUAUCUCAAAUAAAAAUUUAUCUGCCGUGAAACGUAGAUAACCCACUAAAGUAAAUUUGUGUGUAGAUUCUCUAUUAACUUUGUUAUUAUUAGAAUAGAACUUUAAUAUGUAUAAAAUAUUAUACUUAAAAAUUAUUUAAGAGGAGACAGAGCUCCAUGAAGGUACCAUGAUGGUUGACAGCUCUAAGUUAUAAUUCUCAAGAAGUAAUAAACUUUAUAAAAAGAAUCUUAGGAGAAACUUCAAAAGUUUAAUAAUGGUGGCUGCUGGUUUGGUGGUUGUGGGGAACAGAAAACUAAAGAAUAAAAAAGGAGAAGAAGAAGAAGAAGCAGAAGAAGAAGAAGAAUUGUGGGGCCGAUUUAAUUUUAUGUCAAAGACCAAUUAACUUGAACCCUACACCAUAUCAUCAAAUCUCUCAUCUUUAUUUGUUAUUUUUUAUGGGAAAAAAAAGUGUCCCAAUGGAGAAAAACAAAUAUCUUAGAAAUUAAGGCAGACCCACAUGAAUAAUUUACUUUAUGAAUUGAUUUACAAUCAAAAAAGUGAUGGGUUUGUUGUUGUUUAGUGGUUAUUGAUUUGUUUUGACAUAAUUAAUUGACAAAAAGAAAAGGUGCUAAUAUAAUUAAAUUAAUUGAAUUUAGUUUAGUUUAUAUAUGUUUUUGUGUGUUAAUAGUUUUUGAAGUUAAAUUAAUUGGUUAUGAUUGGAUUUUGGGAUCAAAACACACACAUAAACAUGAUUGUGUGCCAAAAGGACAUUCUUGCAUGUGCAUGUUCUUCUUUUCUUAUUUUAAUUAUCAUGUAUAUAUUUUACUUUUAUAUAUAUGGAUUUUUAUUUUAUUAUUGGAUUCCCAAUUUGAUAAUAACAUGACUUGUGUUGUUUGUGCUUUUUUUGCAUUAACAUUUUCAUCCCUUUUUUGGUAUUUUUUUUUCUUUUCAAAAGAUUAAAAUAACCCUUAGCAAUAUGUUCAAUCCCCCUUGGACAUAUAUACACACAUGAUCUCUUUUUCCUUCUCUCAAUAUCUUUUGGAGAAUAAUAUUGAGAAUCAAAAUGGGGCUAAGAUGGGAAGGAUAAUCAUCAUCAAUAACUCAUUCAUUCAAUUGUUUGUUUGAGUUUGAUUUAAAGUAUUAAAAAUAGAAUACUUCACUCUUCAACUUAGUUACUCUUUACAUUUAAUUAGUAAUUUUUUUUUAUUUUUAUAAAACGUAUUGACGAGUUUAGCUAUUAUUCUAUUGCUUCAUUUAUAUCAUAGUUUCAUCAAUCAAGUUAAGUAUAAAUGUGUCCUUUGCAUAUAUAAAAACCAUUAAUAAUAAAUGAGUAUACAAAGUGUAUUCAAAUAACUCAAACUAGCUUAUGGACCAUAAAAGGUUUGGUUGUUUGUCUAUUAUUGAGAUCAAUAAGCCACAUGGGGUCAAAUCUAUUUCCCCUUUUUUUCAAACUUUUAUAUCACCAAAAAAAAGAAAAGAAAAAGAAAAAAGUUGAGCUAGGUUACUAGGGUUUAUAUUGAUUACAACCUCAAAUUAUGUUGAUACAUAUCCUAUUUGUAUUUAUAAGCACUAUUGCUAUGAUAGAUAGAAUCUAACCCUACUAAUAAUUUACCUCUUUAAUUAGGGAAAUAUAUAUUUUUUUUCAUAGAUAUACAAAUUCUUCUAUUUGUAAAAUAUAUUUACAAUUUUAAAAAUAUAAAAUCAGGUAUGGUAAACUAUAAACAUUUGUAUAAAGGCGUGGGGAUCAAAUCUUUCAUCUCUAGAAUAGAAGAUCAUUCUAAUUAACUACAACCGGUGAACUAAACUCACUCGGACUAACAAUUAGAGAUAUUUAAAAUAGUAUUAACGUAGUUAAUGAUAAAUUAUAAAAAUUGAAAACAUCAACUAAUAUAAUUGAAAGCUAAUACAGUGGAUACAAGUGAAAUUAGGGCCUAAAUGGCCUGUAAACUUUUGUUGGUGUAUAUAUUUGUUUAUAUAUGUCUGACGAUAUAAAAUGACAUUUUUAAAGGUUAUCACACUUUAUAGUUGUAACAAUUGUUAGGGAUAGAUAUUAGACUCUAUUAUAAAUUUAAGUGGAUCAUGAUCGUCACAUAGUCAUAGGUAUUUAGUAUACUUUACAUUUUAAAAAUGUAACUUACGGUAUGAUAUAUAUUUGUAGUAUUUCUUGUGGCCAUAUAAUUGAACAAAUUUUAUUGAAAAAUUACCAAUUUGUUUUAGAGAUGAACAACUUUGAUAGAUGAAGACACAUAAAGUUAGGUUUUUCUAAUAUAUAUAUAAUCUAUUACUAAAAUAUUUGUUUUAAACAAGGUUUGUGAAUUGCAUAAACUAAUUUAAUUACGUGGAGAUUGGCAUUAAUAUUUUAAUUAAUCUAAUAGAUUUUUUUAUUUAGAAAUUAUUGAUAUGACUUAAACUGCACUAUGACUCUUUCUAAAUUGAAAUUCAUUAUUUAAAUAUAAUACUAUUGUUUCUUAACCAUUUUGUUAAUUAUCGCCUUCUCUAAUAAUUUAUUUAUCUCAAAGGUUCAUUAAUGUUGAACUAAAGUGAAGGUCUGCUUUCUCAUCUGAUAAUCUUCAUUGACUGAAUCAUAACAAAUACUUUAAUUUAAACUUUGAUAUUUGUUUAAUUAAAAACUAUUCUCAUACUUUCAAAGGGAAUUUUAUAGAAAUUCUUUAAAAUUUGGAAUAAAAUUUGAUGCUUAGAAUUGUAUAGUGAUGAUUCAAAAUUUCAUUGGAAGGUAUUAUUUCAAACUUUAUGAAAAUAGAGAUGUGUUUAACAACAAAGUUCUAUAGAUUUUUUUUUUCUUCAUAAUUUUAACUUUUUUUCUUUUUAUUUUGGAAUUUUCCUUUGUUAUUUGGUGGGCUGGGCCCAGAUUUUGGUCACUAUAGUCCACCAUAAUUUCCAGCAAGGAAACUGACGUGGCCUCUCAGUUUAUUAAAAUAUUCUCUUCUACUCCAACUCAGCAACACCGAUUAUGUGUUAAAUAGGAAUUAAUUUUUCUUUUGUUUCUCUCAAGUGUAACUCAUAUUCAAAAAGUAAUUUUCAUUCCAGGAAUUAACGUGAUGGAUAAAAUUGUUAGAAAACAUUUACAAAAAUAUAUCAAAAUUGUUUUAUAUGAUAUAAAAUUGUCCUUAAAAUACUCUUAAACUAACUAUUUGUUUAUAGAAAAUAUUGUUAUAGCCUAUAACUUAAGCAAAUAUGAUUCAACUGGUAUACAUAUACAUAUGUUUUGAUAACUAAGAGGUUUGUGAUUUGAAUCUUUCUAUUCACGUUCUAUGAACAAAAAUUCUUCUUAUUUCAAAAUUACAAAAUUAUCUCUAAACUCUCGUAAUAGUUCAAAAAUACCCUUAAAAUAUGUGAUAGUAAUCGAAAACAUAAAUUUGAAUUACACCAUAUUAUUCAAACAUUCCCAACUUUUAAAACCACAUAAAUAAAUAAAAAAAAAAAAGAAUAAAAGCUCCAAAAUCAAAUAGAAUACCACGAAGAAAAAAAAUCACUAUAUAAAAAAAGUUAUUACAAUCACACAUUAAUUAAUUUCUCUCUAAGCAUUAUAUCACUCCCACAGCUACAUUGGUACAUCAAAUUGGAUUGAUUAAAAACCAAUAUCAUAAGCUACUUUUACAUUGUUUGAAGUUUACCACUUCGUCAAACUCUCCAAUUAUAAGAUAAACAUACUUUUAAUAUUUUGUUAGGAUAGUAACGUGUUAGAAUAUAUAUAUAGUAUUGUAGAUGUACAAGUACAAACCUCCCAUCUAUGAAGACCCAUAAUAAUAAAUAGAAAAGGGAAAAGAGAAGAUGGAAAAUUUUGCUUCUUAAAGUUGGAAUAGUGAUGUCUCGAAAGAAACAAACCAUGUGAAAGUGGAGAGAGACAUUUCUUUUGCAUCAAAAAGACAAGUUCGCUAAAAAGAAAAGAAACUGCAAAAAGUCAAAAGCUAUUUUUUUUAUUUAUAUAAAAUUAAUAAUAAUAAUGAUAAUAACAAAAAAAAAAAAAAAUUAAGAACAUAAAAAAGCUCUCUACUUUAUCAAAAGAAGCCUUCUUUUCUCCAUUUGCCUCUUCCUUUUUCACGUAACCACUGCAUAAAUUUGUUUACAUCUUCCUCUUCUCUUUAACUUUUUUAUCCAAUUUCUCACACUAUUUUAGAAGUUAAUUGUAAUCUAAAAUAAGUUUUUUUUGUUCAAUUUUGGUUCGUAUGUGUUCGAAAAAUCUUAAUAUUAAUCUAUUUUCUUGUUAGAAUUUUUCUUGGAAUAAUUUUGUCUCUAUGAAUAUACCUAUGUUGCAUGAAAAUUAUUGCAAUUAUUUAUCAAUUUCGAAAAGAAAAUAAUUUACUUGACUCAAAUUAGUAUUUUAAUCCAUUGAGUUAUUUUACUUUUUUUUUUUUUUUUCUUUUUGGCAAAUUGGAUCUUUAGAAAAUGUAAUCAAAUUUGUUUUCUUUAAAAUGAUAUUUCAUAUUCUAUCAAAUGUGAUAAUGGCAAUUUUUAGUUUGAUUUGACUAAAUUUGAUAAAAGUAAUUACUUCGAGUAUAAAAAUAAUUUAACAUACUUUGGAAAUAAACAAAAUAAAAAUAGAUCCAAUUUUAUUUACAUCCUAGUCCUUAUAUGGAUAUCUAAAAUGUUUAAAUUAAUGAUUAUUAGAAUUAUAGAUUUUGUUAAAUUAAUUACACCAUAAUUAUAUGAUCAUUUUUCAGUUCAAUUUGAAAUAUUUUUCAACAUUUGUAUAUUGAAUUGAAAGGAAAUUCUAUAUAUGAGUACCAUAGCUUUUUCACUUUUGUCUUUUUCAAAUUAUGACAUAUGCCAUGCAAUGUUGAAUAUAAACCUUCAUUCUAUUAUUCACAUAACUCUUGUUUAAAUCAAAUGGAAAAUACAGAUGAAUUUCCAUUUGAGAGAACGAAAUGUUUCCAAAACUGAUAAAAAAAAAUGUAAAUGUCCAAAGUUAAAUUACAAAAAAAUUUCAUCUGACUUCAACUGGGUUUGCUAUAUACAGAGAUGGAAGCGAAACAAAAUCUUGAUGUUGAUUAGAUUUGCAAUGUGCAGCUUCCAAAAGCUCAUAUACUCUGUUGGUCACUUGUUGACGACGGUAGUCUAUACGUGCGCAUAAUCCGAAUCUGCGACAUAAACAGUCAAUAUUCUCAGAUACCAGGUAAAGUAAUCAAUAAUCAAAUCAUAUCGUUCUUUCAUUUCAAUCCCACAGAUUUCUGAAGUUUCGUGUUAAAAUCUUGCAGUGGAAAACAAUAUAACAAAGGUUAAUCAUGUAGCCAACCUGUCAAAGUCGAUACAUUCAUCAUAUUUCUUUUUUGUUUUUAAUUCUUCAAUCCUCCUUUGCAUUCCUCCAUUAAUCCUUACCUGGCUACCACUACUUAUUGCCCCUUUGCCUCUGCCUCUCUUUUACUUUAUAGUUCUCCUUGUCCACUUGGUUCUAUGAUUCCAUAGAAACUUGCAAUUGUUGGAGCCCAAGGUAUAGUUGGAACUGGUAGUAGACCUAUUCUACUUGUUUUGUUGCCACAACCAGAUUCGGAAAACAAUCAUUUAAUUAAAUUACAAAUUUAGUCCAUGAACUUUUGGAGAUAUGUGUCUAUUUCGUUCUCAACUUUCGAAAGUGUUCAAUAGUUCCUUAAAUUUUCAAUUUUGUAUCAACGGACCCCUUAGUUUUCAAUGUCAUGUCUAAUACAUCCAUGACCUAUUCAAUAUUCUUUUUCCUCAAAUUCAUAAAUCUACUUAACAAAUUAGAAAAUUAUGGAUUCUAUUAAACAUAAAAUUCAAAUUUAUAUCUAGAACAUCAAUUAGUUUUUUUUAAAAAAAUGAAUACAUUAAGGACCUAUAAAACAAAAUUAGAAGUUCAAGAACCUAUUAGAAACUAACACAAAAUUGAAUUGUAAUAUAACCAUGAUAUACGUCAAGUCAAACCCACCUAACCCUCGAUCAAGGAAAAGGUUCCAAGUGGUCUAUUAUUUAUUGGGUUUGGAAAGGUUUGAUUAGUAGGCCUCUACUGGAGAAACAACCAAUUUGAACCAUUAAAAACUAGACUGGUAAUGAUUAUAAUGUGAACCUAAUUGCGACCUUUAUUUGCUAUCAUGCUCAUAUCUCCCGCACUAAGAUUAUAAGUGAAUGAGUCGUACAACAGGUAGGCAAAGGAAGAUUACCUGUGCAAAAGCAUAAAUUGCUCGUAGUAUUCUAGCAUAAUCAGUUCCCAUCAUCUGAAUCACCAUAUCCGCCAGAAAUGUUCCCCAUAACCUAAUUCAUAUACAAAUAAUUAUGAACUGUUUGGCAUUAAACUAAUCAUGAACAACAAAACAUUUAAGUUCCCGUGUGAUAACGUUUUCUUUUUAGUUCUACGUUCUUGAAAUUUAUACUUGCUUCCUCUGAAUUUUCUUGUUAUAGUUUCCACCCUACCUUAAAAGAAAAUUUUGAAUUCUUAUAUAUAUAACAAAAAAAGAGUUAUCCAAUGAGACCCAAGGUCUAAGCCAUUCGAUUGGUUUACUCUCCAAAAGUUUCAAUAGGUGGGCUUUUUGAAGUUGACAAUAUUCACUAAUCAACAGUCACCAUCAAUACCAAUAUCCUAUUGAAUGUUACAAAACUCAGGUAGGCAAAAAUACUUGCAUACAAAGUGUAAGUGAAAAAUAUUGAAAGCAACCAUCCACUUUUCACCAUUUUUCUUAUUAGAGAGAGAAUAAGAAAAGGUUAAUUACAUUGGGCCGAGCAAAGUCAUCAUGCUUCUCAAACCCAGAUACCUUGAAGCGGCACCUGCAAGACCCUGUCCAAAUUGCAAGAACUACAUAUCUCAAUAUUCAAAGAUAAAGCUGAAUGAGUAUCUAAUGAAUGUGCAUGGGCUAAAACUUAUAUAAGCACUUUUUAAAAUAAUUUUUCAGUAGAAAAGUUUGUCUCACAUUUUUAACUAGUAGUUUAAACAAAAAUUCUUACUACAAUAAUAUUUCAGAAUAUUUUUUGUUAAUCACUUUACCAUCAUUUUUGGAUAGUCUGUCUCUGAAAAUAAUCCAAUUUUUUUAAGGAUUUUUUUUGUUAAUCAAAAUUUUCCUUAAAAACGCAUUUGAUCACUAUACAAAAACUUUUAAUCCAUCAAAUGUGCUUAUAGAACAAAUGAAUUUGUUUAAAAAGCAUUUUUUCCAAAAUUAUUCCAAACAUGCUACUUACUGAUUUCACAUCCCAAAUUGAUACUCUGGCAUACAAAUCACAUCGCCAAAAAGCAAAAUAAAAUAAAAAAAAUACAAUCACCUUUUGGGCAACAAGCAAGGCUAUUCUUGACUCAAGAUUUGCUGCAGCUAACUGUCCACCCUAAAGAGUCAGGAAGGUAAAGAGUAAAGGUUAAGGUAAUCAUAUAAGUAUUUGUACUAUCAGUUCAUGUUCAGUAAUUUAUAUUGAUAUUGAGUAUUGACAAUAAUGGUACCUACUGAGUAUUGAGUUUUCAGAUAUGUUAUUUCAUACUUGUUAUGUUCUUAAUCAAUUAUGAUUUUAAAAUUUAGCACAGAUUGCUGGCAAAAAAAUUUACUAAAAACUUUUCCAUUUCAGAAAACUGUGGAAAGACCGUGCUACAAAACAAAUAGGUAGGUACAAGGUUAUAGACAAUAAGUUUAUGUGUUCUUAAGAGUCUAACUAGGUUGGUACCUCUCAUGCAUUAGAAGCAGAUCCUACGUUUUUUUGGAACUUUAUGUUACCAGAGGGAGAACUUUAUAAACAUCAAAUUUCGAAUAAAGAUUGGUUAUCUAGGGGAUGAAAUUUUCUUUUCCUUAAACUCAGACGUCACUCAGUAAAAAGAUAAUGGUUUAUAGACUUUUCAGGUAGACAUGAACAAUUUUAAGAGCUACAAGGCUUAAACUUUAGUUCAUAAACAAAUCUACCACAGUAACAGCACACACACACACACCCCUCCAUGCUUUUAGAAGAGAUCCCUCACUUCAACGAAGUCAUAAGAUAUUGCCUGUUCCCAUGAAGGAACAUCCAUACUUUCAAAAGAGAUUCCUCGUUCCCAUGAGGAGAAAGAAAACCAUUCCACCAAAUCAGGUUCAGAAAGAAAAACUUCCAAGUAAAAGAUGCCAAUUGGAAGAAAAGAGCAUGAAAGCAAAGAAAGGCAUUUUCAGUUGCUUUAAGCUGUGCUCUCUGAACCAUGGUAUUUAUUUCUAGGUCCACAUAUGAAGAAUGUUUUAGAUGUUCCCAAGUACCUUUUUGAUGAUUUCCUUUUUAAUUUGAUAAUUGGCUGCUUCUCGGAACACCUUCCCAGAUAAGGUCCUAGCAAACUGGCAAAGAAGAAAGUUUCUCAAGAAAAGGGAUUUCAGAAUAAAAAGGAUGGUUGUAUGGUGUAUUAUUAUUAUUACCACUUGAAACAUUUUAACCACAGUUAUCAAACUACCACCCUGUAAAGAGAAAGACAGAUAUGUCAGGAGGCAGUGGUGUUAAAUGAGAAAUGAAACAUGCCAUGCGUGAAAAGAUCUAAUAAAACUGAUACCCUUAGUAUCAAGGAUUGCAAGUCAGAUGCUCCAUCUGUAGCUGCUGAAGUUUGCACCUUCCACUGAUCAAGUCCAAGUUGUAGAGUACCUUCAAGGUUAGCCUGCCUUACUGAUUCUUCACUACAUGGACAAGGAUAAAGUUUUCAAACUUACCAACAUACACAGAGGACAACAUAUACUUGAUUAGUGUAUGAAACUUGAUUGCCUAGUUACUAAAAGACCACGUUGAAUAGAUUAUAAACCUACAGCAUUGAAAAAAAUGAAAUACUAAUUGGCUUUUGUUCACAAAGUUCUUAAUAUUUCUAAAAUGAUUGACAUUAGUGAUUUAGUACUGCAAUAUCCAUUCGUAGUUACAAAUCCCUAAUUUGAGAUGUUUGCCUAAUCCAAUUCAUCAUUUUAGUGCACAAUCACCAGUUAGUUUCCUACGCUUUGCAGCAUACUUCCUCAAAGUAUUGAUGAAAUUUUUGGGUUUUCUCUAAGACUCUAACCAUGACUGCUAAAACUGAAAUUUAUAUCCACACUGAUAAGUAUGUGUUUGUAUCAAUAUAUCCAGUGAUUACCUAUCAAGAUAUAGCAAGACGUCCGAAUUUUACAAGAUCAAGUUAAAAAUAUAAAAUUCUCUCUUAACCCGCUACAACCUUAAAAUGCAGUUCCAGGAGAAGUACCUUGCAUAUUCCUGUAACAAAUGAAGAAAGAUUUCUGCUUCAAGGUCUUCAGAUGACAACUUGGUUGAGCAAAGAACGUUUAACUUUUUUCUCACUGUAAGCAAGACAUCUCUAUAAGAUGGUCUCCAACCCCUUCCAAGAACAACAUAUGAAAUAAAUUCAUAUAAUUGACAUGAUAUUCACAUAAAGUCGAGGAGUAGAAAAGUUCUUGAAUAAGCCAUCUGAGAUAAGUAUCUUUAAUUCAGCCUCACAUAGGUUAACUACAGUCUACAGUUACAGUAAAACGUGUGCAAACAUUUCCAGUAAUGCAACACAGUAUGGCUAUGGUAGCAUGAAAUUUCAAUUGACCUCACACACCAACAAAUAAGAACUAAGCAUAAAUUCUAAUCAGGCAUUUUGAAACCUUAACGUCGACCGAGCAUCGGCUGCUAGAAACAAGAAUCGAGACUCGAGCGAUGAAAUAAAUCCGUCUCUCUCUUCAAGGUCUUCUUCAAUCAUGGCAUAGUCAGGCUGGCCUCUGUUUGUAAUCGAUUUCAUCAAUGGGCUGAAGUAACUGCAAGUCACCAAUACAAGAUCAGCCUCCUGAAAGUAAUCUGGAAAUCUAGAAACUUCAUGAUAAAACAUUUUCCCUACAUCACUUCCCAAAAUUAAGAAAAACAAAUCCCAGCAAACAUACUUUGGCAUAUUAAUACUCACUUUCCGUAUCAAAGCACAAAAUCUCACUAUAGCUAAAAUGCUACUAAACAAUGCAACAAAGGAAGGCAAAACAACCUGGGACCGAAAAGGAUUUGCUCAAGCUCAUACAAUUCAGAAUUCGUGGCCAGCUCAAGCACAGAACGCAAAUCAGGGUCAAAGCCACCUGAAACACACAGUGUCAUUUCGGAAACUAAAUUCACAAAAAGAGCUAAAAUAGAAAGAAGAAAGACACCUUGAGCAUUUCUUGGGUUGGAAGCAUUAACACAACCCACGAAUUGUACGCCAUUUCUACGCCCAGAAGAGCUGAAAAACUGGUGAACAAUACCCCGUAGCUUCUUUAGAAAAGAGUAGACAUACAUGAUAGAAAGACUAUAAUCUAUGGUAUCUAGAACAAAUUUGAAGUACCAAGCAUGCGAUUCAGCUAGUUUUAAGUGGAAUUUGAUUGAAAAACUAGUAGGGGUCAUGUAAAUUAAACAAAAUUUGGAAGAGAAACUUACGGGAUAUGCAAUUUUUUUAGAAGCGGCAGGAGAUAGGAAGGCGAAUUGAAGCGCAGCCAGAGCAGUCGCCAUGGAAGAACAACACUUGGGCGCAAUGGCAGUGCUACGAUAGUAUUAGUGUCACUGUUCCACUCAGCUCACGAUGCUCGUCUCCGGCAAUAAGUAUUCAACCUAAAAUUAGAUCUAUUAAGAGUGAAUCAAUUAUGUUUAAACCCUCAAUUGAGCCUUAGGAAUUAAUUUGUAAAAUCUCAUCCAUGGUUGGUUUGAGAAUUAAUGACUUCAAACUUUAUAAUAACGAAUUUAAUUAAAUUUCGUCGUUUGUUACCAAUAAUUUUACAAAAAUGUUUGAAAUCUGUAAGAUUUAAAAGUAAAUUAUUUAAUUAAUCUUCUCAUCUUUUAAUUUUUAGUUAAUAUAUCAAAGUUAAUUUUCUUUUCUUUUUUUGGUUAUCAUUUAAAUACAUUCAUUUUAAAUUUGUCACGUUGUUGUUGUUGAAUAAAGAAAUUCUUCCAUAAAUGUCAUUUUGAUAUUAUAACUAAUUUGUUGAAUUUGAGUGUUCAUUAUUUUAAAAAAAUAGAUUCUAAAAAAAAAUCACAUAUUAUUUAUUCUUCAUUUAUGUUUUCAUGUGAUAGAUUUAAAAGUUUGUAGUUGAAAAUAAAGUAUACACAUAAUAAAUCCAAUAAGAUAGUAAUGAUUUUUUUUUUUAAUAUCAACCAUAUUGAGACCCUUGCCUUCUUCCUAGUUUGCAAUUGUCCCAUAAAUUAAAAUGAGUUUUUUUUUACAUAUUUUCUUUGGUUGAGUUUGAUUUUCAUUGUCCCAUAAAAUGAGUUUUUUUUAUAUAUUUUCUUUGGUUGAGUUUGAUUUUCAAGUAUUUUAGUCAAGAUUAUUCGUGGUAAUAAUAUGAUUUCCUUUCUUUAUAGUGUUAUAUUUUAAAAAAUUAGAAAGUGAAGGAUAAAAACUCACACAUAAUUCUAGAUCUACAUCGCUUUAGAUGUAGUACUUACUUGCAAAGUUAGUGGGAUCGAUGGUGUAGUGGCCGUAAAGGUAGGAGGUGAAUAAUCCUCUCUACCGCUUUUGUUUGAAAUUUUGUAUCCAGGGAGGAUGACAAAAAUUUAGUUGGGUUAAUAUCAAAUAGUAAUCUAGAUAUUAAAAAUUAACAUUUUGCUUACGUCACAAAACAUAAUCCAACGAAAAAUUCUUGUAGACUUGCACCAAUCGCAAAUUGAUAACAUCACCUAAAAGCACAAUUUUAAACACAUAUGGUCGUUUUUAUAAAAAUACAAACUAUCACACAUCAUUCAAAAUUCACAAAGUUAUGAUUUUUUUUCUAAUUUAAAAGCAAGUUAGAAGUCUCAUCAAUUUGUUGGAAUUUGUUGAACUCUGACAAUUUGACACAGCCCAACUAAAUUUAGGUCAUUUGUAAAAAAAACUUUUUUUUUUAUUUUUGAAAAAAGCAAACUAAAAUGAGAGAUACCAAAUCAAAUUAAAUUUGGAUCAUUUCAUAGAAAAAAUUAACAGUAAUAAUAAAAGUUCAAAGCUCCCUCACAAAAUAGGAUAACUAAAAUGAGAGAUUAAUGGAACAAAACUACUAAUUAGUGAAAAGAAUAAAAUAAAAUAGAAAUAGCAUCGUUCUGGGUUAAUUAAAUUAAGGUAAAGUACAUGAAAUUGUUGAGUAAUAGAGUUGGAAUCGUUUUCUAAUGUUUGAAGGGUUAAAAAAAUUAUUAUUGCCCUUCGAUCCGGUUCCUAACAACAUAUAUAUUUCAAUUCUACCAAUACGAUCGACCAACCAUUUAUACAAUACAAAUUAUUAUGUUAAUAUUUGACAUUUUCUAACUUAAUUAGUUGAUUUUAGAAAACAAGGUUCAUUUAAGGAUUUGUUCAAAUAAUUUGUUUAUUGAUUAAACACUAUACUUUCAUCCACAUGUUUCUUUAGUUAGAUAAUCUAGCUUGAUUUUCUAUUUUUAAAAAUGAGCUCAUAGUCUUGUAUAGUUGAUAUUUUAAUACCGCCACACAUUUGAAGCUCUUUUUUAGUUGAACUCAUUCUCACUAAGUUAGUUUUAAGAGAUUUUUUGGUUCCCAUUGAUGAUUUAUAGGAAGUUGAUAUCAAGAUGAUACAAAAUUCUUUAAUUUAUGUUGAUUAAUAUCUAUAGACUAAAAGAAGUUUUGCAACAUCAAUUAACACAUUAAAAGAGUUGCACUUUUGAAGUUUAAUGGCAAAACGUAAACAUUAUUACAAAAAUUAAUGUAUCAAUCAAAAUUUUAAAAAAGAAAGAAAAAAAAAGUAAAGCUUGUAAAUUUGUGGACAAAAGUGAGAUGUAAAUGAAGUUAAUAUAUUGGAAGAAGGGAAAAUAGAAGUUUAUACAUUAACUUAAAAGUAGUAAUAGAUAAGUUAAAUCUCAUUCAAUAACCUUUUUUUUUUUUCGAUUUGAAGGUUCAUCAUCUAAUAAACUCACUGAUUUUGCUUAAAAUCAUGUGCAACUUCAAUAUCUAUUGUUAGAAUAAGAUCAACAAAAUCUCUACUCAUAUUUCUUGUUAUUCAUUAAUAUUGUUUAUAUAAACUCUCAUUAAUUAAUCAACCCUUAAGAUCUUAUACCAACUUGAGAGAUAACUAUUAUUUCCUUUAUAUAUCCUAUGAUUACUCUUCUCUUUAAUCAGUGUAUGAAACUUUAUUUCCACCUAAUAUAUACACACACCAUUCUCACACAAUCGUGUAUAUAUAUAUAUGUGUAUUUGUAGAUGCAUGCAUGUGAACACAUGUAUAUGGGAUAUAUGUGUGUGUAUGGUCUAUGAAAAUAGAUAGGGGAAAUGUGUAUUUAAGAAUAAUGAAUGAUUAGUUUUAUAAUAUUUGUAUGGUCAAAAAUUGGAGACAAAGUCUGAGUAAAAGGAAAGUAUAAUUGAGGAGAAUAGGGGAGAGAAAGUAGAGAGUGGUGAAUAUUUGAAGGUGAUAGGAAUAAGUUGAGUGUCUGAUUGUGUAUGAAAAAUCCAAAGACUAAACAAGAAUUUUCCAGCCAAGGCUGUCCACUGAAUGACAGACAAAACUGCCUACCUUAUCCUUCUUUCCAAACACCCUAUUAAACCUAAAAACAUGCUUCCCAUAUGCACUUAUCAAUUAUUAAUAUUAUUAUUACAAUUAAUCACACACCAAAAUUAGCUUCUCUUUUCAAAUUUAAAAAUAUUAACAAAUUAAAAAUUAAAAAUUAAUUGCACCAUUAUACCUCUUCUUCCU